GGCGCUUGCAUCACCUUGAUCGUUGGGAUUCUUGACAUAGGUGUACUCCGACGGUACGGCGUUGAGUUCGGUGCCGGUAAGUGUCUUGAUGCUUGCUACUUUAGCAUCGUCGGCAACGUUGGCUGUUGUAGGUGCCAUUUGGGAGAGGUGAAACUAAAGUUUUGGAAUCAAAGAGAAUAGAAAUAGUGAGAAAGAAGGAAUCAAGUUUGGUAGUGAGGUCAGAUGAAUGUCUGGGUUGCUAUUUAUAGCCGAAAGAAGAAGGGUUUGCUCAAUCCACACGUGGAAAAAAAGGUUACGUUAGCUAUAUUUUAGUACAUAGUGCCGAACCCUUCACGGUAGAGGCCGGUAGCCAAAGCUGACCAAGUUUUUCUUGAUUGAUUCUAACAAAUGUGCAUGCCGAUGUCAGUAGAAGACCAUACAUGUGGAAUUUGCAAAUUGAUACCACCUUUUAACUUGUUACCCUUCCAUCAUUUUCAAGCUUCUUUGGUUUUUGGUCUCGCUUUCUUGGAAGAUCAAUGUGUCAAAAUCACACAUGUAGCCCCAUAUAGUGGAAUAAAACUUGACGAGGAAACAAACAAUGAGAAUAUAUGAAGCCUAUUCACAUACACUUGUUUUCGGAAUCAUAUAUACAAUACAACAUAAAUGUAAGACAUAUAUAUGCUACCGAAAAGAAAAUGCAAAACAUACUAAUAUAUUCUCUUCUUCAAUUUGUAUUUUAAAGUCCUCCAUACGCAUAAAUUGUGACUCAAAAUUAAAGUUUUCAAAAAACAUAUAAAAUUGCAAAGUAUUGUCUCACAUCAUAGAAAUAAGGAUUAAAGACUUAUAAUAUAGAUAUUCGGACGUCUCACAACGCUCACCGUAUAAUUACACAUGAAGCUAAAGUUUAGAUUUUCAAACACGUUGUGUAUGCCAAUUAAUUUUUAAUUCGGACAUGAUUUCUUCAUCUUUGGUAUAUUUUUUUAUAUGGUCUUGGUCUUCACUUAUGGAUUCUUCCAUACAGGCCAGGGAAUGCAGUCAUCACCUAAAGUCUUUAGUCUUUUCCUACGUAGGCUUCCGGCUUAGCUAAUAAGAGUUUUACUUGGGUUGUGGAGGAAAAACAUAAACUGAGUGAAUAAAUAAAUAAAUAUAUAUAUAUAUAUAUAUAUAUAUAUAUAUAUUAAGGACCUUUACGUAGUCUCUGAGAAAUAUAUCUGUGUGCUAGUUAGAUAUAAAAUAUGGUAAGACAACCAUAUGGUUGAUACAGGUACGUACAAUAGUCUUGGUCUAUGCAAAUUGUUAGUCAAGAAAUUAGACGCUUGUAAUUAAAGUGAUUCAAAUUUAACUGACUGCAUGAUCAAAAUAGCAGCUGAACAAGUUCCAAGUUCCAACUAGACAUGCAUAGUGAAUCUUCUAUUAUAAACCUCUCCAGGAUCUCCAUGCCUUCCAAAGCUAGGUUACCUUUGCGGCAAAGCAAAUAAAUUUGCAGAACCACUUAAUUUCAUAUAGAAAAGUAAACACUUCGCACAAAAGGAAGAUGUGGUCUGUAUUGGAGUCAAAGAUUCAAGAAUAGCUAGCGCUCCCAGCAGUGCAGACACACAAGAGGAUAAUCUAGUUUACAAUAAUAACGUCAAAAUUGCCCAUCAUUUGUAAUAAUCAAGACAAGUUUGAACGACAAAAAUUCAAAACAAGCCAGCCAAAGAAAAGCAUACAGAGACUAGAAUUCUAGAAUUGCGUAUGAAACUAGGAAUUCGUGUAAAACCUCUAGUUUACCUGAUGGACAGCUUUGUUUCUAUAUAUGCUUGCCAAUAUUGCAUGCAUUUGAAGCUCUAAUGUCAAGUAGUCCUUAUUAUCGAUAUAGACUUUGAGUACGUAGGUAAAGGGUUAGAAACCUAACGUACGUAUAUAGUAAUUUGCAUAUCAACAUUUACCGUUUUAAUAACAAUUAACAUCUUCAAAUUAUCCGUUUAUUUGUUUGAGACCUUCUUUAAGUUAUUAAUUAGUCUCUUAUAUAUGAAUAAAUUUUGAAUUUUUGAUAGAGCUAGCUAGAUUAUAAAAAUAUUAACCGUCCACAGUGGCUGAGCUACUCGAACACCAAAGGGUGUCACGGCACCCCUUACAUUUUAGCUUGUAAUGUAUAUGUAUUUCUUUAUCGUAAUUACAUGCAUAUGUAUAUGAGUUGGUUCAAAUGAGUACUUUUAUGUUUGGGUUUAUAACAUAUAUUGACACCCUCCUCAUUUGUAAUUUUUGACUCCGACCGCCACUGACCGUCCACUACAUUCUAUUAGUGUAAGGUUUGUGUACGUACUUCACAUUUCAUAAACUCCCCAAUAACCAAGGGUCAUGUUUGAUGGUAAUACUUUUACUCUUGAACCCCAGAACUCCAGAAGGAUGGGAUGUUGGACCUAAUAUCUCGAUCUCACCAUCACACUUCAAAGGUAUGUACAGUGUAAUGUGCUGCAUAUAUAUUAUCUGUUCAAAAUUUGUUUUAGGAUUGAACAGUCCUCUCUAUCCAAACUUAGAACUGAGCAUGUUUUUCAAUAUGGAAAUAUUGAGUUGUGAUUUAAGAAGAAAAAUAAUCCACAAAUGAAAUAUGUCUUAAAAUGUGAUUCAUGGCUUUCCUAAUAAGUGACAAGGUAAGUUAUUUGUUCCAUUAAUUGAUAUGGUUCACCUCCGUAUUUCGUUACGAUCGCAUUUUCAUCUCUCGCUUUAUUAGACUAUGCCUGGGGAAGAAUCAGUCCUCCUCAUCCUCAACUGCGGACUCCCAAGUACUUUUUAAUUUAGAACAAAGCAAGUCCACAACCACAUCAGGAGCAAUAACAUGGCCGUCCGGUGAUCAAGGACUUCGUCGUGAAGGUACAUCUGAAGACGUUAAUAUUAAUUUUCAUGUCCAUCUUCUGGUGAUCGAGGACUUCGUCGGUGAACGUACAUCUAAAAAUGUUCGUUAAUCGACAAGCAGAAUAGUUCGCUGAAUUUUUUUUUUUAUCUAAAUAUGAUUGAUUCGAAUCAUAUGUACAAAACCCUAAUGAACCCUUGUUGGACACACUUGUGUGUGUCUAUAUAUAUAGUUCAUAUCCCGAAACUUCAAUUCGCUAUGAAAAUAAAAUGUGAAGUUCCUUAUUUGACUCACUUUUUCGUCAUAUUUCUACAUCUCCACCUUUCAGUUUAUAGAAUCUUAUGCAUAGAUCACUUAUGCAAAGUUUCAUCUAAUUUGAUGAUCGUUUAGGUUUACUUAAAAGUUAUUUACACAAACAGUUAUAGUUAGACAAAUUUAUAGUCCGUUCAUUCAUUUGAUCUAAUUCAGUAACCAAACGAUUAUUAAUCUUGAUAUAUAUAUAUAUANNNNNNNNNNNNNNNNNNNNNNNNNNNNNNNNNNNNNNNNNNNNNNNNNNNNNNNNNNNNNNNNNNNNNNNNNNNNNNNNNNNNNNNNNNNNNNNNNNNNNNNNNNNNNNNNNNNNNNNNNNNNNNNNNNNNNNNNNNNNNNNNNNNNNNNNNNNNNNNNNNNNNNNNNNNNNNNNNNNNNNNNNNNNNNNNNNNNNNNNNNNNNNNNNNNNNNNNNNNNNNNNNNNNNNNNNNNNNNNNNNNNNNNNNNNNNNNNNNNNNNNNNNNNNNNNNNNNNNNNNNNNNNNNNNNNNNNNNNNNNNNNNNNNNNNNNNNNNNNNNNNNNNNNNNNNNNNNNNNNNNNNNNNNNNNNNNNNNNNNNNNNNNNNNNNNNNNNNNNNNNNNNNNNNNNNNNNNNNNNNNNNNNNNNNNNNNNNNNNNNNNNNNNNNNNNNNNNNNNNNNNNNNNNNNNNNNNNNNNNNNNNNNNNNNNNNNNNNNNNNNNNNNNNNNNNNNNNNNNNNNNNNNNNNNNNNNNNNNNNNNNNNGUAUAUAUAUAUAUAUAUAUAUAUAUAUAUAUAUAUGUAUCAUUUAGGUUGAUUGUUCGGGUAUCUCGUGUUUCUGAAAUGAACAUAACAUUGUAAUUUUUGAGAAAUAUUUGCCCCUCCUAGAAUGUCUUAAAACCUCUUGAGAAUUUUUAUGAAGUGUGUGAGCUAGCUAUCAAAUUUGAAAACACACGAUCUUAAUUAUAGUUUUGGGUUCAAGCUAGUCGGUGCAAAUGUUUUUAUUUCGUGUCAAUUUAAAAAAAAAAAAUUUAAUAAAUCACACACCUUACAUAUGUUUAGUGAGAUUUGAACCCAUGACCUCAAAAUUGUUAGUGAGUUUUUAUUUCGUGUCGUUUAUGCACGGAUUGUACUUGAGAAUGUUGUGCUAUAUGAUGGUUGAUAUAUAAUUAAUGUGAUAAUUAGUGUCAAAGGUGAUAAUUAGUGCGUUUGUGGGAGGAUUGAAAGAUGCAAAAGAUGAGCUCUCGAUCAGGCAAGAGUCUAAUUAGUGUGUUUGUGUUGGAUUAUUUCUUGUAUGGUGGGAUUAGUGGAUUAUCUACUGAUAUAGUGCGCGUACUGGCUGUUACCUCAUUAGAGGAUUUUAUUUCAAUAUAUUUCAUGUUAUGUUUUGUGUGUAAUUAAUUUAUUUUUGCUAUUCAUAUAUAUUGAAUAAUUGUAAAGAGUAAUGAAGCGGCACAACGCAGUUGUACAUUAUGAAGAUACAAGACAACUCAUACAAGCAUAUAAUUAAUUCGAACUCAUGUUACAUGGAUCUGUUGUAUUACAUAUAUAAUCUGAUAGAAUCCGGCGUUUAAUACUGAAUUAAAAGACAGAAUCUGACAACAAGAUCACUAGAGAUCCCCGUAGGAAAAAAAUAAAAUUAACUGAUCUGCUACACCGUUGGAGCACCAACGCUCAUACAGGAGCAUUAUUACUGUUGUGAGAUAGAGGAAGUGAUGAUGGAGGCAUGGAGCUGUGAGUUGGAUAGCAAGGGCAAGCUUUGGGCUUGGUUCACUCGGCCUUGACUCGCAGGUGAUCUAAACAAGGCAUCAUGUACGCCGCCGGACUGGCCUGAAGUUCCAUGAACUCUUCAUAUGACAUUCCGAUGUAUUUUGGUGCUUCACCGCCCAACAACUCCGGGAUUGGAAGAGCAGCAGUGUCAAGUGCAGGUCCAUGUGGUACAGCUAUGGAGAUCCUUGUAGCUCUGUUGUUCACAACAGCCCGAUGCCAGACGCUCUUGUACUUAUCAUUAGUCAAUAUCUGCAUUUGAUCACCAAUGUUAACAACAAAAGCACCCGGAGCACAAUCAACGAGCACCCACUUCCCGUUGUGCUGGACUUCAAGGCCUCCCAUAUCAUUCUGAAUAAGAAGAGUCACAAGUCCGUGAUCGGUGUGAGGGGGGAUUCCGAUGGCUAGGUCGGGCUGUGGACACGCCGGAUAGUAGUUAGCGGCGAGGAUUUGCAUGCCACGGUCCCAGUUCAUGGCCUUGGCUAUGUACUCAGCCUCCAACCCCAAGCUCUCAGAUAUUCCGCUCAACAAUUCGGUAGCAACUUGUCGAGUUUGUUUGCUGAACUCGAAUGAAACGUCGCUGUACUCAGCGGGCUUGUGGAGUGAGUGGAACUCCGGGUGUGCUAUGACCUUGAGGUAAUCCCUCCACAGACGAACCUUGUCGAUCGCAACGUUAAAGCUUGUCCCGCACUUGAUUGGUUCCAAAAGCUUCCUUGAUUGGAACUCCUUCUUCUCCUCCUCAGGAAGCUGAAAAAACUUGUGGCACGCCUCUAUCAUCGAUUUCAUCAGGCUCUCAGGUACACCAUGGUUGAUAACCUAAUCAAGAAAAAACUACUAUCAGCUACCGGCCUUCAUUUUGCUAUAUAUUUCCACAUAUAUUACUAGCUUUUGUAGUAAGAAAACUAUCUUCAUGUAUAUAUACCUGAAAGAAUCCCCAUUCCUCGCAAGCUUUCCCAAGCUUUUCAAUGGCGUCGGCACGGAGUUUUGGGUUGCUGGAGGUGAGAUGGGCGAAAUCGAUGGUGGGGAUAGAGUGUUCUGGGUCACUGGCAUCGGCUUGAUCGUUGGGGUCCUUGACGUAGGUGUACUCCGAUGGUACGGAGUUGAGUUCAGCCCCGGUGUCGGUAAGUGUCUUGAUGCUUGCUACUUUGGUUUCGUCGGCGACGGCGGUUGUUGUAGGUGCCAUUUGGGAGAGGCCGGGAAAAGAGAAAGAGACCUGAGUGUUUGGUUAGGACUGAUGGAAUGAGAGAGAAUGAUAUGAGUUUAGUUGUUGUGUAGGUUUGAAGAAAGAUCGAGUUGCUAUUUAUAGCGCCAGGAAGGAGAGCUCAAUUUUUCAACGUGGAGAAAUGCAUUUUGAUGAUGUUAUUUAUUUUAGUGUCGAACUUCGAAGGUGGGUGACUGGGUGUGUAGGCCGACGGCCACUGCUGACCAUGUUUCGAAUAGUAAUUGUCAAAGAAAGCCAGCCAGCUGGGACAGGCUUAUAUGGAUCAAGAUUCUUUUAGUGCUAUAAAUCCAUACUAAAGAAUAAAUCUUAAAAUUAAUCCGAUAUGAUAAUCAUAGUGACAAAACAAGAAGGAUCAAAAAAAAAAAAAACAACAAGAAUUAAUUUAACCUGCUUGUAAGCUUGUUUGAUUGGUUGCUUCCAAGAUUGGCACAUAUACAUAUGACUGGAAAUUUGAUGUGCUAUUCCUAGCAGGUUCCUAAUGAUCUGCCUCAUGAAUUAAUUAGCUAGAAUUAUGCUACUAAUAUCUUAUUCUUGUUACACUCGUCAUUUUAUUUAAUUAUGAAAUCAUUUUUUUAUUUUGGAAAGAAAUAUUAUGAAAUCAUUAAUUAGAUUUACUAAUACUUGAUUGCAGAUAGAGAAAAUGAAAGGAAAAAAAUCUGCCAAUAUAGAAUUGUUUUUCAGACAACGAAUGUGCAAUCCAAUUCACAAUUAGCUAAAAGAUCAACGAAAUCCAAGUCAACUCUCAAGAAACUAUCUAUCAAUUUAAUGAUGUUAGUCCGUCCCGGAGCAGAACUAGGGAUUAUAACUUUGGGUCAGCAUGCAUCUUACCACACGCUUGAACUGAUUUUCUGACUAGAAAACCCUAAGCGGCUGGUGUUUCAUCCUCUUACUAUAGUUAUCACAUGAAAUUCAGUGUUUGUGGUUUAUGAAAAAAACUUGUUCUUUGUGAUCGACCAAGCAGAUUACGCCUUUGUAUAAUCUUCACUUGAAAUUCAUCAAUAGCAUGGAACACAUUAGCAAAUAAAAGUGGUUGGAUUACACUAUCAUUCACAUCUCUACCAAAAUUAAUUUCCUCCACUAUCCUAUAGACAAUAUGCAUCCCACCAAAAGCUUACCCUACAGGCCUACAUGACAUCUUGUGUGACUAUACAUGAUCGAGCUAGACACAUCCCUAAAAUGAACUCUAGCAUAAGUAGUGGUUCAUCUAGCAUUAUAUAUAUUGCAAUUACUCAUCUAUAUAUUAGAGUAGUUUUCUUGUUAUUGAUUUAUAUAUAGCUUGCCAUCAUGUUAAAAAAUGUAUACUAUAAUUCAUGUCAAAAAGAGAACGACUUAUGCAUGACUAUAGCAUAUUACAUGAUGAGAAAUUAAACCAAUACCAUGCAUACAUGAAAAACAUUGCUCACUUUCAUGAUUUUUUUGUUUAGUGGAUCUUUAGAGAUCGGUGUCUUUCUGUUACAAUGGACUUAAUUUAUUGGUCUUCUCCGCAGUUUCUUCCCUACAGGAAAAUGCAGAUGAGUGAUGACCUCAAUUACCAAAUUUCUCUUAGCAAUCUUUACGUGUCGGCAAUGGCCGUUCCAAGACAACCAAAUUUCUUUCACCUUUAUGAAGUCGGUUCUGUUUCCGAGUGCUAUGUUUAGGGUUUCCAUGCAAGAGUACAACUGCAAGAUUAUAUUUAGGGCUCAGAUGUGAUGUGCAUGUAUGGAAAGACAAACAAAUGGUUGGUAGAAAGUAGGUCGAUGUUGUUCGAUAUCUUGGGGAAGUUUUUGCCACAUCGUUAAUGUGGUCAAGAGUUCAUACAUAUGCUAGUGAUACAAAUUUGACUCUGGAGCUCACUCUUUCAUUUCCGUCGUGUCUUUCACUAUCACUUAAGUAGCAGCACCAGAACGGCAGAACCAGUACGUACACACACAGCAGUACUGCUGAUCGAGUUAGCUAGCUAGCUUAGCUAGAACACCCCCGUGUCCAGUAAGGUCAAUAAUUUCCCGUCGUUUGAUAAUGAUUAAACCCACUUUGAUCCACAAUAUUCAAACCAAGCCAGCCAAGGAAAAGCAUAUACAAAUAUAUGGACGAACACUAUCGAAAAUAUCUAUCUUCUAGAAUCAAGAGAGUUUUAACAUUUGUGAGUACUUAAAUCACUAGCGCCCAGUGCCAUCCUAGCUACUUGUUUACAGGUUGGUGCAGAUGCUCGUGUAGUACGUGCCAAAGCCAUCCCAAAUAAUCAAAUUGAUUAUGAUCCUAAAACAAGCAUUAUUUGUUUGGGUUUGAAGAUUCCGAAUUCCCGACGGAUCAGGGAAUUCUUAUAAACAAUUCCCGGAUCUUAAAGUAAUCUCUACGAUGACGAAGAAAAUUCGUAUGAUUGGAAUUUGGAUAUAGAUAGAUAUACAAAAUACUGAGUCAAACUUUGGGACUUGAUUUCCUUUUCGGUUUGACAUUCAAAAUAGAUACAAAACAGGGUUCUUAAGCUUAGUUUGAUAUUGUGGUUUAAAAUCUUAAUUUUUUAAAAAUUUAGUUUUAAAUAAGCAACCUCCAGCUUGCUUUCUAAAAGCAUCUUCAGCGGUAUUGCUAAAUCAAAUUUUUUUUGAAAUUUGACAACUUUUCGAAUGAAUAGGAGCUUCAACAGUAUACCUAAAUGGUUGCUAAAUUUAAUGAUUGCUAAACAAAAUUGAUAAAUUUGUCAACUGAGCCAUGAAUUGCUAAAUGAAUACUUAUAUUUUCCUUUUUUUUUCUUCCACGUGUCAAUUUAUAAUUCGUUAAAAAUAUUACUUAACUUACACUUAGCAAUAACUGCUUGAGCCAAAUUCUUAUAACAAUUGCUAAAUCUCAUAAUUAUUGCUAAAUUUAACUAUAGGUUUAGUUACACUGCCAAAUUCUUUAUCGUGGUUAUUUAAACUAAAAAGUUCUACAUAAACGCGUUUUAAGAUUUUACCAAAUAGAAAAUUUAUCUAAAAUGGUGAUUAUAAGUGAUUUUAAUCCCCAAAACUCAAUACCAAACUAGGUCUAAGUAGUUCAAGAAUUUAGCCAAGGGGUGAUCAUUGAAUGGAAUCAAUGGAUAAUGUCAUGGUUUCCUGUCUUAGCUAGGCUAAGUCUACCCCACAUGUUUUUAUUGGCUGGUCACCCCAAUUUGGUCAGUUUGGUUUUCAAUUUUAUACGUAGAAUGAGAUAUAUACAGAGCAAAUAAGAAGAUUCGGAAGUGUCUUUUGGGGUUUGGUUCAAGGGGUGAGUUAGAUAAUUUAGUUAGAAAUUGUCAAACAUAUUUUCCUCCAACGAAACUUAUGCAUAAAACACGAAUUUGAUCCCUAACUUGCUCGUAGUUGUAAUCCUUUGUUGGUGUUGUGUGAUUGUUUUAUAAUUGCAGUUUAUUGAAUGAAAUUUUUCUUUAAUAAAAAAAAUAAAUUUGAUCAAAAAUGAGAUAUAUAAUAAUACUUCGGAAAAUAAAGAUGAAAAGUUUAUGAUCUAAAUAACAUUUAACCAAUGUAAAUAUUGUAAGUUCGACUCACAAAAUUUAAUAUUUAAUAAUAAAAAAACUAAUUCGAUCAAAAAUGAGAUAUAUAAUAAUACUUCGGAAAAUAAAGAUGAAAAAUUUAUGAUCUAAAUAACAUUUGACCAAUAUUGUAAAUGUUGUAAGUUCGACUCACGAAAUUGUAAUAUUUGAGUUGUUUAUCUAAGAAAAAAAAACAUUUGACCAAAGUAAAUCAACAGUUGUAAAAAAUGAGGCAGAGUUUUUACUUGCUAGAUCAUGCAUGGUUUUUAAUGAGGUCACAUUUAAUCCCUUGGGAUGUAAUAUCCAACAGCUUAUUAAUAAAAUUUAUUUUUGAUAAAGAAAAAAUCAACAGUUGCCAAAAAUCAUCUUUGUUAUGGACAGUAAUGUUGAAGUUGUUACAUAUGUUAUAUUAAUGAUAGUUAAACUGAAAUUCUUCAUAUCUAAUCACCUCCAUGUACUAGAUUUUGUAACUGAAGCCUCUAUAUUUUAGUUAAUUAGAAACCAAAACGAAGGCCACUGUACUUAACAACCUAGCUCUAAUUAGGACUAGAACCGGUCAUUAAUAGAAAUAAAUGCAAACUAGAUCUUUAAUCACCAGCCCGGUUGCAGCUCUUGAAAUUCAUUUUCAAGAAAUAUUUGACAUGCAAUCGUUUAAAACAUAUCUUGAAAGCUUUAACAAAAAUAAACCUAGUAAUAUUAAAGUUAAACUACUGCAUAUAAAAUGUUCGCAACAGAACUAAAAGACCGCUACAUAUAUGAACAUCAUCAUCAGUUUAGUCGAUCAAAAAUUGUAGUCUUUAAACUAUUAGUGUAAACAAAGCAAUUUGUAGGUGUACGUUGUUAUGUUAAUGUAAAUUUGACUCGUUAUUUAGUCUUUAAACUAACUAAAUAUAACAAGUUGCAUAUUUAUUCUGCUGUUUUAAAAAUCUCUUUCAAUUGAUUGCAUCACAGCUUUUGUUAUGCUAAAACCUACGUAAGUCUUAUAUGUCAUCUCCACAUUCUAAAUCUUAUAAAUUCCCUUCGAUAGUUGGUUACAUUUUGUUCACCCAUGCCACCUGAUCUACAUUUGGAGAAAAACAACUUUAAACCAUCACAUAAAGCCCCCCCGACAACUAAUGUGACAUAUUUACUAUAUUAUUAUAGCGCCUGACGCGGUACUGUUCCCGUGAACAGUGACAGUUGGGUUUGGGCUUUUUUUCUCUCCUUGGGCUUUUGGGCCUGCGUCUCGCCGUUUUCUCAUUCUUUUUCUUGCUCUCUCUCGAUCUCUCUCGAAACUCCACCGAAUCGUUUUUUCUUCGUCUCUAUGCGUCCUCUCCCUCUUCUUCGUUCCUGCCCUUUUCGAAAGGAGAAGAGAGAUCGCUUCCUCAACUCUUUUCUUUCUCGCUUUCGUUCUUCAAACUCAACCAAAUCUCUUGAUUUAGAUUCAGACUCUUUCACCGUUCUGAAGUUUUCUGUUGGAAACGAAUAAGAGUAGGUACUGUGUUCUGAAUCCUUAUCUGCGACGUUUGUUAUAGUUUUUGGGAUUUUGGAUCUUCGAUUUGGUACAUGAUUAUGAGAUAUUUAGAUAUCUCGACAUCUAUUGGUUUUGUUGUUUUCAUUGAUCUUCAGCAGAUUUGAUUCUGACACCUCAAGGUCGAUUGGAUUGGUUUCAAGCUAGGAUCUCAGUGAAUUUGAUCUUUCCAGGUAAAGAAUUUGAUAUUUUCAACUUUUUCUCAUAACUGGGUUUGGACAUUUCUUCUGUUUCUCAAGGAUGCGUAUGGGUGUGUUGGGUUCUUUCUCUGUUUUGCUUGCAUGUGCCGAUGGUUUGAUUGGGAUCUUAAUAUGCUAUUAAGAGUAUUUCCCUUUAUUACAACAGGAUAACCAAUUUCAUUGGCAGCAUAUAUAUAUAUAUACAAUACUGAACCUAUAAUCAUAUGACAUGGAAAUUUUUAUCCUUCUUUUCAGGUUGAGUUGAGUUUCGCAGUCAAGCUAGCUGAUUGUAUUGUUAAUAUAUCAACUUUGAAAAGGUACUUUAACUCCAUUAGGCUCUACUGNNNNNNNNNNNNNNNNNNNNNNNNNNNNNNNNNNNNNNNNNNNNNNNNNNNNNNNNNNNNNNNNNNNNNNNNNNNNNNNNNNNNNNNNNNNNNNNNNNNNNNNNNNNNNNNNNNNNNNNNNNNNNNNNNNNNNNNNNNNNNNNNNNNNNNNNNNNNNNNNNNNNNNNNNNNNNNNNNNNNNNNNNNNNNNNNNNNNNNNNNNNNNNNNNNNNNNNNNNNNNNNNNNNNNNNNNNNNNNNNNNNNNNNNNNNNNNNNNNNNNNNNNNNNNNNNNNNNNNNNNNNNNNNNNNNNNNNNNNNNNNNNNNNNNNNNNNNNNNNNNNNNNNNNNNNNNNNNNNNNNNNNNNNNNNNNNNNNNNNNNNNNNNNNNNNNNNNNNNNNNNNNNNNNNNNNNNNNNNNNNNNNNNNNNNNNNNNNNNNNNNNNNNNNNNNNNNNNNNNNNNNNNNNNNNNNNNNNNNNNNNNNNNNNNNNNNNNNNNNNNNNNNNNNNNNNNNNNNNNNNNNNNNNNNNNNNNNNNNNNNNNNNNNNNNNNNNNNNNNNNNNNNNNNNNNNNNNNNNNNNNNNNNNNNNNNNNNNNNNNNNNNNNNNNNNNNNNNNNNNNNNNNNNNNNNNNNNNNNNNNNNNNNNNNNNNNNNNNNNNNNNNNNNNNNNNNNNNNNNNNNNNNNNNNNNNNNNNNNNNNNNNNNNNNNNNNNNNNNNNNNNNNNNNNNNNNNNNNNNNNNNNNNNNNNNNNNNNNNNNNNNNNNNNNNNNNNNNNNNNNNNNNNNNNNNNNNNNNNNNNNNNCCAACUUAUCUUGAUUUAUAAUGUAUAUUAUCCUUUUACUUGUAGGUAUUCAUAGUUGUUCAGUAACAUCUUAGAUCUAUCGCUUCACUUAUAUAUUAGCACCAAUCAAACGUAAUGUGUAUGUCAAAAACCCAAAAUGGUUCGAUGUUAUGGAUAUCUUCCUGUUUUGUAGGUUGUGGUUAAGGUUGUGAUUUUGUUAAUCAGGUUAUGUUCUUCUCUUUUUGGUUUGGUGAAGGAUGUUUUUAAAAUAUCUCUAUUUACUACAUUGUAAUUUACUGUACAAAAGUAUUUUACUAUUUUGAAUCAAUUUAUGUUUUAACCAACCUCAUUGAUAUUAAUACAUCAUGUCUAUUGCUUCUGUCAUAGGUCAUAUCCAGUUAUUUGACAACAAUACACUUCAUUAAGAAUACACAGUAUUGUUAACACUUGAUUGUUCCUCGCAGCGAUGCGCGGGCACAAAAACUAGUUCACAUUAUUCCCCACCCAAUCAGAUUCUAUGCUACAUAAAAAAAUAAUAAUGAGAGCGCGCCUGCGAGGAGACUCGGAGAGCCUCGGUUUGCUUCGGAUCCUUAGGGUUCGAGUUUGGGCGGCGAUGCAUCUCCUUUGGGCGAGGCGACGACCGUGAUGGCGGUGAGACCGUGGCGGCAGCGAGUCCAUGCGUGUGGUGGCAGCGAGGGGCUCUGGGCUUCUCAGACUGAUGGCUUUUUCGGUGUUAGGUGACGGUGUUGGUGGUGGUUGGAUGCAAGAUGCGUUGGCCGCUGAGCUUGGAGAGGGUCUGCCUGAUAAUAUACUAGAUGGGUGCUGAAAUCGGCGACUAUAGUUGGCCGGUUUUGGGGGUCAACAUUAAGGGAUGAGGCGGUCAGGUCGGCCACUUCUAGGGUUGAUGCAGUUCGGGUUAAUUUGGGCCUGGCCUUGUGGAUCUGGGCCUGGCCUUGUGAAGUUGCUACUGCACUGCUUGGAGAGACCAAGGGUUCUGACUGGGUCGAUUUGGGCAUGAGAACCUAGGGAAUGACAGUAAUCACAGUCCCAUGUUGGGACAUAUCCCUACUUCAUCAUUGUGAAGAGUCAACCCCUUUUUUGUUAGAAAUGUACAUCGAAAUGGUCUCUACGCCCCGAUUCAUUAAGCUGAGUACUUUGAAUCGGUGAUGUAGGUUUUUUACUUUCUUGGUUUGAAUAAGUGUGUUUGAACAUUAGUUUUUUCAGGUUAGCAUUGUAGGUUUUCUUAUUUUGCAGACUUUGAUUGGGCAACGUAUUGUACAUGAAGUUUUCCUUACACAUUCUCUUAGCUUGACCUUAUAAGGUCAUAUGAUUGAAAUGAACGGCGCUUGACUCCAUUUUCCUUCAAAAAAAACAAAAAAUUCUAUGCUACAUCAAAUUAUUUGUAGGUGGCCGGUACCCAACAUUCCCCGAUAUAUAUAUCUUUAUGAAAAAAAGAAAAAAAUACAUCACAUCAUAACAGUAAAAUAAGAANNNNNNNNNNNNNNNNNNNNNNNNNNNNNNNNNNNNNNNNNNNNNNNNNNNNNNNNNNNNNNNNNNNNNNNNNNNNNNNNNNNNNNNNNNNNNNNNNNNNNNNNNNNNNNNNNNNNNNNNNNNNNNNNNNNNNNNNNNNNNNNNNNNNNNNNNNNNNNNNNNNNNNNNNNNNNNNNNNNNNNNNNNNNNNNNNNNNNNNNNNNNNNNNNNNNNNNNNNNNNNNNNNNNNNNNNNNNNNNNNNNNNNNNNNNNNNNNNNNNNNNNNNNNNNNNNNNNNNNNNNNNNNNNNNNNNNNNNNNNNNNNNNNNNNNNNNNNNNNNNNNNNNNNNNNNNNNNNNNNNNNNNNNNNNNNNNNNNNNNNNNNNNNNNNNNNNNNNNNNNNNNNNNNNNNNNNNNNNNNNNNNNNNNNNNNNNNNNNNNNNNNNNNNNNNNNNNNNNNNNNNNNNNNNNNNNNNNNNNNNNNNNNNNNNNNNNNNNNNNNNNNNNNNNNNNNNNNNNNNNNNNNNNNNNNNNNNNNNNNNNNNNNNNNNNNNNNNNNNNNNNNNNNNNNNNNNNNNNNNNNNNNNNNNNNNNNNNNNNNNNNNNNNNNNNNNNNNNNNNNNNNNNNNNNNNNNNNNNNNNNNNNNNNNNNNNNNNNNNNNNNNNNNNNNNNNNNNNNNNNNNNNNNNNNNNNNNNNNNNNNNNNNNNNNNNNNNNNNNNNNNNNNNNNNNNNNNNNNNNNNNNNNNNNNNNNNNNNNNNNNNNNNNNNNNNNNNNNNNNNNNNNNNNNNNNNNNNNNNNNNNNNNNNNNNNNNNNNNNNNNNNNNNNNNNNNNNNNNNNNNNNNNNNNNNNAAAUAACAGUAAUAUGCUGAGCACAUGAAUAAACAUUAGGAAUAAAAACACUCCUAGAAACAUUCUAAAUAAACAUGAAAGAAACUCAGUGAGCGCUUGAAUCCAAGUGUGAUACACCUUGCCUUGCUUCUGUAACAUGCCAUAUUUUUUCAGUGAAAUUAGGCUUUCAGUAUAGCUGAAGAUGCUGGAGCCCCUACGUCUUCCUAUCCAAAAGAUCCAAUAACCAGGAGUAGAAUAUGAGGGGAGUUGUUCUAUUUUCAUCGAAAGAUUUCUUAGGUCCAAAAAGUAACAUUCAUGGACUGAUGCAAAACAUAUGCCAUGCUCCCAUUCAGCACAAAUCUCUCCAAAACUAGUCCAUAUAGUCCAUUCAGGGAGGCAUUUCACUGUUAUAUUGUGAUGUAGCUCCCAUUUUUUCUCAUCAUCAUAACUUGUCAACACCCAUAUCUUAAUAUUAUCUUGAACAUAAUGAACAUCCACAAGAGCCAAAGAUCCUCUAAAUUUAAGCAAAUAUAAGCCAUAACUACUUGAGGGAACAAGAGUCGCACAAAACUCCUCACUGUUAAAAUUGAAUGAAAUCAUGUAACCGGGUCUUUCUAUUGUUUUGCAAAUCAACCAAUGCAUGUGUCCACCUACAUAUAUCGCAUUCUGGCCGCGUUUGCGCGGAAAAGAACUGCCUACAUCAAAAGGAGGAGCCAAAUGUAUCUGUCGCCAUGAGCUUGCACCUAAUACAAGAACUUGAGCCACAACACAGUUGUUAGUUGCCCAAACAUGAAUAAUCUUGUAUGUGCUAGUAAUAUCAUCAUAUCCCAUCCCAUACCAAUUAGUUUCCUUUGAAUAAAUAUGGGUGGUUCGAACCGGGAUGUUACUAAGCGGUAGCUCUAGAACUUCUUCCCUCAGCGGAUUGACCAACAAGCAUGGACCGGUACCGAUUUCUCUUUUAAGGAAAACCAAGUUGCAGAAAACAAAGUCUACUUCCAAGUAACGUUUCAAGCCAAUCUGAGAGACAUGUAUGGAUUUUGUCAGUGUCUGCUUUCUGCUGUUGUAUUUGAACGAUUGCCAUGUCUGUAACACUGACGUACCAUGCCUCCCAGCAUUAGACCAUAUAGUAACACGCAUAAGUGAGUCCAUAGCAGAGUCGUGUGACCGCAUGUUGUGCAGUGUAGCAAACUCGGGGCUGCGAGAUAUGUCGAAAGAGGUCUUAGACACACAUUGGACGCGACAGAGUGAUUCUACCGGCGGUCUCAUAAGGAUAUCGACGAUGACAUCUUCCGGUAGGUCCGUUAAUGUUGUUACCUUUGUGUUUGGAUCGCCAUUGUUCGAGUUUCCCUCAGUCUCGCCGGUGACAUCUUCGGCUAACUCAUCCGUCAAUGUGUUUCUCAUAAUCCAAAUAUUACUCAAAGUCUUCAGAAGAUCGAUACAUCUUUCUAAAAAAUUGCUUCUAUGCAUGAGGAUUCCUCCGGCCAUCGUUCUUUUUUUGCCUUUGUAAGAAGAAGAACUUCCGUUGAUAACAAAUUUCCUGGUAAUACCAGAGGCUCUCUUAUACAUUAUAGGAAUAGGAAUAGGAAGAUAAUCUUUUGGUGUUUGACUAGAAAUUAAUAGACAAUAAGAUUCUGCUAGCUUUGUUAGGAAAGUAUCUGAAUUUAUUUCAAUCAGAUGCGAUUACAAUCGAGUUUGUUAGGAAAGUAUAUGAAUUUAUUUCAUUCAGAUGCGAUUACAAUCGAGAGCUAUAGCUUUCUUUGGAUUUAUAAUAUACACCACCAAACUUGGCUUUACCUGGGCUUCAAAAUAAGGUCAUACUAGCUAAAUGAUGAGCAACCUUGUUAGAUUGCCUAUGUUCAUAGCAAAGUAUGGGAGAAGUUGAGCUAGCUAGCUUAGUUUUAAUAUCCACAAGGACAUGGUGAACUACGUACUUUGCAUGUACUGCUUGCAAACUUCAUAACAUGAUAGUUAGAAAACCUUAAACCCUAGUAUCACGAUGCAACCUUUACCGUCGAUCUUUAGACCAACGCCCAAAUGAAAAGUUACAUGUAAAUUGAAAUGAGCCUAUACAAACAUCUGUAUCCGUAACAAGCAGAAGCCAUAGUACAGCAACUCAGACAAAAUCAUCUAAAAGAGCAGUAGUGGAUUUCAGAGGUUGUACAUGGUACUGAUAUUGUCAACAUCACAGCAAUUCUGUGGUAGAUCUUCGCACUAUAGUUAUGAGUUCAUAUUUCACGACGGGAGGUUUGUACCAGUAAACAUGAGAGCACAAAAUGUGUAAGAAUAGUUGCAGAAGAAAGGCUUUGUUCGCUUUGUUUUUACACCUCUUCAAUUGUAACCGAAGGGGACGACACUCCAUUAAUUUGAUAGUAGUUGUUUGUACUCUGCCAGCAGCUUUGGGAUGUCAUCCAUACGCAACUGCAAAUCAUCAGCACCCAGUUAACAACAUGAUAAGGAAAAUUAAAGGAGAGAAUCAAAUAGAUGAUAUCACUGAUCAGUUGAGUAGAUAUGCCGGAUGUGCAAAAAGAAAAAAGAAAUCAGUUGCAUCUGGUUAAGAUGAUGACACAACGUAACAAUAUGAUAGGUACCUGGUUGACAUUUCUAACAUGAUAGAAACUAUAAGCCACUUUUCUAGAAGAAGCAGACUCAAUCAACUUUGGAUCAGAACCACCAUUCUCCCUACCAUAGCCAAGCAAAUACCACAAACAAAUGACGGAUUAAUCAAUCAAGUUUAAAAAUUGAAAGUCAACAAACCUUAUGUGCAGUGCAACACAUAAGUAUUAGGUUUUAGAAUUUAAAUUUAAGUUGAACUAUGGUGCAUAGGUAAUAUAUUGAACUUGACUUGAAUUUGUUUGUUUCACAGUCAUUGCAAUUUGCAUAUGUGCAGAGGUACUAAAUUCAAGUUGAAUUAUGGUUCAACUCUAAACUAUGGUUAACCUGAGAGAGAACAAUCCAGAUAGCCCUCUCCAUCCUAUAUCAAAUUAAAAGGUGAUAAUACUACCGUAAGUACUCAUUGUAAUGCAUAGUAACAUUGCCUCGGUUGUCAAUUGUCACCACGGUUAGAACUUAGAACUGUGUGUAAAAGAGGAGAACUGAGCAGAAUUAUCUAUUUUCUUCCUAGUUUUUCACUUGUUUGAUGAAUAAAGCUGGUUAAGCAUGUUAGACUUUUGUAAACAACCACAGAAACAGGACAAUUUAGCUGAUUGUAAACAAGUCAUGGUGUAAAACAUCAAUCUUACAGGUGACGACGAGUAAUUUGGCGUUGGUAGUCCCGCAGCAAAGGCCCAAGUUCUUUAAGUGGUAUGAACCUUGCAGUAGAAUUCCUCCAGUGGUCACGAAGCGCCUGAUGCAUUAUCAUUAAUAUUAUACUUUCCUGAACCAUACCAAACAUUUGUCUUCUUAUAGAAAAAUGAUGAUCAAUAUCCUACCUGAAUAUGUACCAUAUGUUCACCAGUGGACACUCUUUCUCCAACCAAACUUGAAGCUAGUUCAUUAAGUUCUCUGUCUUCUAACUCAUCCACAACAGGAACCCCAUUACUAGGGAGAAAAACUGAUAUUCCUAAUCUUUUUCGCAACUCUGAGACACCAGAUUCUUCUGUUUGGCUUUCCUCCUAGGAACAUGACAUACAAAUUUAAUAUCCAGCCCAAGAACAAAAGUUAAUAUCUAGUAGUGUACUAGUAGCUGAGGAAAAAUAUUCAAGAUAUGACACACGUGCUGGAAAUAUUGGAUCUAGUUGAACAUCAUCCAAUCCAAUUCAAUAUGAUGUUAGCAGAUCUGAUUCAAAGAAAACAUGUUUAGAGUAGAAGCAAGGCAGUAUGGUCGUUGGCAAAUAUAGAAUGAUUGGCAAUUACAGGCAGCAGCACCAAUACCUUGAGUUCAGAUUGGACACUACUACUUUCCAUCAUCACAUCCUUAUUUUCAGUAAGAUUCGUUGGUGAAGUUGCACGUAGCCUAUUUGCAAUAGGGUCCUCUAUACAACAGCAAAAUGUGACAAUUAGAAUUUGUCAGAAUAAGGUUUCAACAUAAAUUGCAUGAAAAAUCCAAGAAACAAGGUUCCCUUCUGCUUAGAUAGGGCAGUAAAAUGAUUUCCAUACCAAGAUCUGCACAACAGUUUCUCUCCUUUACUUAACAUCCAAGUUCUUUCUUUAAAUUUGAUAUCACAAGAGAUGAUUUUGGAGCCUUCUCAUCAUCACUUUGGAUAACCCCUCUAACACAGUAUUGUUUCAGAGUAUGGCGUCAUUAGAUCAAAGUCUUACAUUGAACUUUUUUCACUAUCACAUAAAUGAAAUUUGUAUGUGCUCCAGCAAGGGAAAUAAAUAUUUGAAUCAAGAUAAACAUUUUUCUUAAUUUUUUAAGAGAUAUUUAUAUGACCUAACAGACAAAGAGUUGAAGAGUCAAGUUCACGACAUUUUAUGCUAGGUUAUAUUAGAGGCUAUCACCUAACACAGCCGUUUUCUAGCUGUUACUGAAAAUCCUAGAAGAAAGAGGUUACAUGAUCACAAGCAGAGAAGUAAAGAUGAGAAAUAAUAAGAUAGUGUAGUACCUUCAGGGACCAACCACCACAGAUCACCAAAUGUGGAUUUGCCAUCAAAGCCACCAAAUAAUAGAUGACGUGAGCCAAUACAAGUCAGAGAAUGGUAUGCUCGAGCAGGAGGGGGUUCAUUGCCUGUAGGUAAUCGCUUCCACUGUGCAGAAACUAAAUGUUUGAAAAAAAAGGGGUAAGGAAUAUGAUUAAAUGCAUGAAUAUUCAAAGUGAAAGAUGAUGCGAUCUUGUCAUGAGAUGUAAGUGUCUGACACAAAGUACUUCAACUUUCCAUAAUCAAAGACAUUUGUUAUCAAAUAACAGGUGGAACCCAAUAAACAUGCAUACAAGGGAACCACCAAUUAACAAUUACGGUGUUAGAGGUUCCCUAUCCAAAUGGUAACAAGAAUAUUACUCUACUUUUGCACUUUUUUUUCUACGUAUGUGUGAUCUGGAGUGAGGAGUAGGGCAUUGUAUACAAAGUUACAGCUACCGAUUCUUUACUAUACUAUCUAGCCCGUAUAUGUAUCAUAGUAGCAUGGUGAAAAAUGGAUGGUUCAUUGACAUUAUGAUGGUCAACACAGCAUCAGCUAUUAAUUUUAAAGUAUAGGUAAGAAGCACUCACCCCUGUCUAAGAUGAUGCAGUCAUUGUAAUAGAUGUCAUAACGACUCAACCAGCCACCAGUUCCAUGGCCUCCAAAUAGCAACAGCUGCAUAAAUGGUUUUUGAACUCAAUUACAAAGCAUAUCAACAAACUAGAGUGAAUUUCAAUAUAAAAGAAAAUAUAAGAUUAACUAAUAAUCUCCAAUGCCAUCAUAAAAAUAUGAUCCUUCAAUCCACCCUUUAAUUGCAAAAUAUUUCCAGUUUUAUGCAACUGCAAUGAGGGUGACUUCCUGCCUAGAGAGAGGGUAUUUUUUUACUGGCGCAGCUGACAUAUCUACCACCCAAAUUUAAGGAUUACUUUGAGCCUAACUAAAAUUAACAAUAAUGCAUUAAACUAAAACAUAGUACUAUAUCAAACUAUCUAUGAAGAAUGUAAGAAGUAUGAACUUCUUCUGGGUCCGGAUGGUACAGAAUUAAUUUACAGUAUUGGUGUGGGUUAUAUUGAUGUAAGGAACAAAAGGGUUCUAGAUGACUGAUUCAUGAAUACAAAGGAGAAUCUUAAUCUUAAUGGGCAUGGACAGUCUCGCCAGUUUAUUGACAAACAUAAAACAAAGACAGAAAAACUAACAGAACUUUAAAUGUCAAUUACAUAGUGUCCUCCAGAUGUGAUGGUAUGGCCACAACGUGCGGAAGGAGCUUGACCUGGAAGCUUCAGUUGGGUCCAUCCGGGUGUUUCAUUCUCUUCCUUCCACAACAAAGACAAAACAAAAAUUUAAGUUGAAUAACUAAGAAACUAAGCAGUAAAGUAUAACAGUUAGAAUUGACUUACAUAAGGCCAAAACUCAUGAAGCUGAGUACUUUGAAAAAAAAAAAUAACAAGAAAAACCCAAAGCCAUAUACCAAAAGAAAAGAAAAAAUAGCCCAAUGCAUGUGAUUAUUGCACCACCAUCUCAAUACAAAGUUCAAGGGAGCUUCCAAGAGGGAAAUCCCCACAUUAAAAAAAAAAAAACAAGGAACAAAAGUGCGGCUUUCAGAGAAGUUCUUAUUUAGGGGAUUGGCAUGCUGACAGUAUACAAUAUCAAUGUUUUCACAAAUCAUAUACUUUCAGUACAUCAUAAAAAAUAUAAUCGCGCAGCAGAAUGUCUAGUAGAAAUUAGAGAAACUAUUGUUAGUUACAUGGCAUGAAUUAGAAGGCACAUCUGGACAUGCGCUUUUAUAGGAUGACAUGAUUUACGGCAAUAGGAAUAUAAGAUGGCUAUAAUCUUAAGAAUAAAAAUAGAAGGCAAGACUAGAAACAAAAAGCCACAGCAAAACUGAUCUUGAAAAACUGUAGAAAAGGGGAUCAACUAAGCAUCAGUAUCACUACUAACCUUCUUCGAUUAAACCCUUCAAAGCCCAUAAAUCACCCAUGAUGGGACCUCCACCUCCUACAACAUUCAAGAUAAUGUCAGCAAAAAGCAGCCAAAACCCCUUGAAUAAAACCAAUUUAUGCUUUCCAUUUUUUAAAUGAAACAAUCCUCGGUAAUCAAAUGGCGGUCAGUCAGUCAGACAGUAGAUGCUUGUUGUAUCAAAUUACUCUAGCCUUCAAAAAUCUGAAAGUAACAAUCUAGUGAUAUUAUCACUUGCUUUUUCUUGAUUUACUUGAUAAGGAAAAACCUAUCUGGCUCAUGCAGGAAAAAUAAACCACAGUUACAUCUGCAAUAAAGGAAUAUUCUGUGACAAGAAAGGGUCACCUUUACAGAUACAUUUCAUACCACAGAAUCAGCACUCAUAUUCCAUGAAAUGAAUAACCAAUUAUUAACAUAGUUGCAGCAUUGUACUUUACCUCUGCCACCAUACACAAGCAACCGUUUUUCAACCAUAGUAGCUGUGUGGCCACAUCUAGGUGGUGGCAAUGAUCCAGUCACUGACAGUUCCAUCCACUCUAGUGAUACUGUUCAAGGAAGAGUAAAGAAUCAAGUGAAUUUAUGAUCAUUUGAUUCAUUUCAUAAAGGAUCAACUCAACUAAACAUAAAGCAGCAAAUAGCAAAAUUAAAAAAAAUAAAAAGACUCAGAAAAACCAUUUACUUGUGUCCAAGACGUACACAUCUGACAACCACUUUUUACCAUCCCAGCCACCAUACCUGCAUUCAUUUCCAUAUUACUUAAUAAAAAUACUAGAGAGUUGUCACAUAAACUGGUAAAUGGAAAAGGCAAUGAUUAUAUGCUCACAUAAUAAUUUUCUGAUUUCCAAUAGCUGAAGCUGCAGCAAAGUCUCGUGCUGAGGGUAAAUCACCAAAGCUUGUCAACUCUGACCAUUGCCAUAUAUCUGGAAAAGACAAAUUUAAUUUACCCUCAGCAUGUCAAAAAGGAGGCCAAAACAAGCAUUAACCCAAGUAUAUUCACUCGUAUCACUCUAACACAUUUUUAUAAGAAAAAUAAAUAAUCUUACCAGUAUCUAGGACCCAAAAGUCACCUAACCUGAACAGGCCAACCUUAUAGUUAAUACAAUGUGGGGAGAUAAUCGAAAUAUAGCACAAUAUGUUGCAAGUUAGUGGAUGUCAACACACCUCUUGCUACCAUAACGCCCACCAAAGAUGAACAUAUGACAAUCAAUCACAACAGCAACAUGAAAUGCCCGAGGACUCGGACCAACUUGUCCAUCAGUGCCGCCAGUGCACUCUGGCUUAUACCAUAGUUUAUUAUCUGAAACAAUCAAAAGCCUGAAUGAGAUUCUUUACUUUUACUUGUGUGUAUGUCAUAGUUAAAUUUUUCCUCUUUCUUUUCUUGUUAUGAAAGAAACAGUCAACUUCAAAUUGCAAGAAUUUUAGUCCACACAAUCAUUUCCGACUAGAUAUACCAUGGUGCAUGAUGCUUUCUAUAGAAAGAAAAAUCGCAUAAAUUUAACUUUCCACUGUUCCAUUCUGUGUAUUAAGCACACAGUGAUUCUUCAAAGUCCAACUGAUGUGGCAAAAGAGGAUCUUGAAGCAAAAGAAGUAGGAGAAUCUGUGGAAGACAUUGCCGGCCAAUUAAAAGUUCCUUAUGAUUUACCGUAAGUUUUACCAUUUUUCAUAAAACUAAGUACAUCUACUUAGCUUGAGUGCAGAUAUCACAAGCACCCUCAUUUCUUUUGAUUUUACGAAUAAAUUAGAAAACCAUGGAUUAUUUGAUCACACAUUCUUCACAUUAUCUAUUUCAAUCCAUCCUUAACAAGAUAUUUGUUCCUCAAUACUUAGUCAAGCCUUUCACCAUUUCGACGAAACCAAACUACUGAUAUCAACUAAACCCUCCUCACUUGAACUGAUUUUGCAAAUAAAUUAGUAAACCCAUGGAUUCAUCUAUUCCGAUCCCUUCAAAUUUUGCAUUGUAAAAGUAAAACGGUAAAAUCCAAGUAAAACUAAGGUGGAAGGUGUGAGGGAUUGAGUGUACCAAUAUCAUAGACGACGAUAUCGGCGAGGAACUUCUUGUCCAAGAGGCCUCCGAAGACGAUCACUUUUGAUUUCCCAAUGUUGACGGCAGUGUGACCACUGCAGAAUUCAGUAUUCAAACUUCAAAAUUCAAAAAAAAAAAAGAAAAAAAAAGAAAGGAAAAUUUAACAUGGAUGAGAUUCGAUUAGAGAGAGAGAUGAAGUGGUGUGCCUGCGAGGUUGAGGAAGAGUUCCGGCGAAAUCAGAGGAAGAAGCUCGAACCCAGUAAUGCAUCUUUGUCUCUUCUGUGCUAUUUUACCGAUCCAAACAAAGAAAUCGGUUCUUUCACUUCUUUGAGGAGAGUUGUAUGUUUUUUCGUUUUUAAACCAAGGUGUAACAGUUCACGGUAGAAUCUUAGCAAUUCAGUACAAAAUCGGUCAUGUUUGUUUGUCACAAGUGGGACUGCGACAAAUAAGGGAGUGCAGUUUGGUUAGUUCACGUUACUAGGUAUUAAAUUAAAUUAGUUUAAGUAACACUGUGUUUAGAUAGUGUUAAACUGUUAGUGUCAAAAAUUUAGUAUACAUAUUUAUGUGUCAUACAAACUAAAUAUGUGGCUAUCAUUACUUGAAAGAUGUAGUCAAGUGAGCAUUUACCCCCUCCAAAUGCUCUUUAUAUGCCUUGCAUAGAAGUGAGUGGAUCACUUUGUCAAUACGUGGGUACUCAGGUUGAUCAUCUUUAGACAACACCAUCUUUUUAAACUAUAUAUAAACCAAACAAACUAUCAUCUAGUCUCGUUAAACACCAAAACAUGAGUUAAUAUUAGUACAACUUAAGACAACCUACAUCAAUCUAAGACAAUCUUAACAAAUAAAGAUGUGUAAUGUAGUCUUGAAUACCAAUGUAUAGAUAGGUAGAGCAUUCAUAUGGUAAGUGUGUGUGCACAAUCCUACCUCUACAAUAGUAGGAUGUGUCUAAAAAUUAUAUUGAUCUUGGUCCGUCUUUGUUUAAGAGCCAAUGCAUAUGUUAUGGGUGUGUUCGAUCAAUUUUCAUAUCUUAAUUUGAUAUUUAUACAUCCUAUGAGAUUAAAAUUUAACUCUAAUUAGAAUCGGCAUUGAACUCCACACGAGACGGCUCUUACCAACUUGACCCUCCAUGUCUGAGGAUCCCUUAUUUUUGUUUCCAAUGUGUCACUUGGAUCAAUUAGGCGUGUGGGUUUGUUAGAUAAUUCAAGCCCAAAUGCCAUACCCAUAGCUCUUGUUUCAUACAGACCAGAGCUAACUGAUAAACAGUUAAACACAGCCAAAGUCUCUCCGCUCCGGCGGUGAAAGAAAUCAAAAGCGCCACAAGCAAUGGCGUCGCUGCUCCUCUCACCUCUCCGCUUACGCCAUUUUCUCUACAAAAGGCCUAAGCUCAAACCCCCUUCUCCACUCUCCUUCUCUUCCUUCAAACCCCUCCUCAAACUCCGCCCUCGCUUCCCUCCCUAUUUACAGUCCUGCCACCGCUCUUCCACCGCCUCUUCCUCCCCACUCGCCGACUCCGACCACAAAACCCACGCGCUCCUACUCGGCAGAGACGAGCGUGCAGCACCACUCAAUGGGUCCCAUCCGCAGCCGCAGCCGGAGAACGCGACCACAAUCGCCGCCAUUGUGACGUCACUCGGGGGCCCGCCCGGUGCGGUCGGGAUCGUGAGGCUGUCCGGUCCGUCCGCCGUGGCCGUCGUCGGCCGCGUGUUCCGUCCGAGCAGGAGGAAGAGUAAGAGUAAGAGCCCAUGGCGACCCACCAGUCAUGUGGUUGAAUACGGCGUGGUUUUGGACCCAAACGGCAAUGUGGUCGAUGAGGUAGUCUUUAAAGUCUCUUGCUUUAGGGUUUAGGGUUUAAAGUCUCAUACUUUUAGGGUUUGGGGUUCAAAGUUUCGUACUUUGAGUGAAUGUGAUUGAUAUUGUUGAAUAAUUUAGGUUUUAGCUGUGCCUAUGUUGGCGCCGAGAUCAUAUACACGUGAAGAUGUUGUGGAGCUUCAAUGCCAUGGGACUCAGGUGUGUCUGAAUCGGGUUCUCAGAGCUUGUUUGGAAGCCGGAGCACGCCUCGCGGAACCAGGUGACUUCAUUUCCUACACUCUCCCACAUUUAGCUUACUUGAAAUGGAAUUGAAUUUUUAGCUUGAAAAUGUGUAACACUUUUGCUAUAAGAUUUGAGUAGAUACAAAAGGGUUAUCACAUGUAACACUACAUUUGUGAUUUUUUGUGUUGUAGGGGAGUUUACUCUGCGUGCUUUUCUCAAUGGCCGGUUGGACCUGACUCAAGCUGAAAAUGUUGAUAAACUGAUUUCGGCCAAGUCUGUGGCUGCAGCAGAUGCAGCACUGGCCGCAAUUCAGGUAUGCGUCUGUUAUUGUCUUCUAUAAUUAGUGUAUUUAUCCAACUUUUUAUCCAAGGAAGUUAUGAACUAAGCACUGACAGAAUUUGUAUAUUGGCAGGGUGGCUUUUCUUCCAUGGUAAAAUCUGUAAGGUUUCAGUGCAUUGAGUUGCUUACAGAAAUUGAAGCUCGGUUAGAUUUUGAUGAUGAGAUGCCACCACUUGAUAUCAAUCAAGUUGUAAAUAAGAUACAUUCCAUGUCACAAGAUGUUGAGAGUGCUCUAGAGACGGCCAAUUACGACCAACUUCUGCAAUCUGGAUUACAGGUACAAUUUCUAACAUUCUUUUUUACUUCAUCUAUACCAAGAAAGAAGCUUAUUUCUUUCACUUCACUUCUUACGUCGUAUGAGCAGUUGUGUUGUUUAUAUAUCUGGGUUUCAAAGUAAGUCUUUAUUCUAUGGAUGCCUUUAUGUGCACAACUUUGAAUACUUAAGCUAAAGUUAGGACUUUGAUAUGUCAAUGGUAAGUUUCUUUUUGUUAUGGGAAGCAAAUCAUGGGUUUUAUUUUUCAAAAAAAAAAAGAAGGAAAAGAAGUGUAUAUGGUGCCUUAGUUGCUUAAAGGGGACUUUAUAUUAGUUUUUUUUAUUGAACUCUACUUUAUUUCUUAAAGGGGACUGCUUAUUUGUGUUUUAUGGUAGUCUGGGUAUACGUCGUUGGUGUAUCCUUUUAUAUCUUUUUGACAUUUUGAAUGUAGAUGCCUUCUAUGUUUCCAUUAUCUACAAUUCAGACACUUCUGAUUUAUGGAACUCUUUUGAAUAUAUCACAGAUAGCGAUUCUGGGCCGUCCAAAUGUUGGGAAAUCAAGCCUCCUCAAUGCAUGGAGCAAAGUAAGUAGUGGCAGCUUAUGCACAUUCUUUUAUUCCAGUUGAUGAUGUGUCUGAUGCCAUAAUUUCACAUGCUUGCUUAUAUGUAGAUAUAUGCUGUAUCACUACCACACAUUGAAUAUUUUGAAAUCUCAUAAAUGUUAGUUCUUGGAAAAACUGCAUAAUAGGAUUUGUAGAAUGUGGAGCCUUUUUGAAGAAGCUGUCUUAUAUAAUCUACUGAAGUUACUUAACUAUGUUCUUGGAAAAAUUUUGGGUUUUACAGAUACCUCUAUGAAAAUGUUACAGAAGCAGUGAAACAAUUGGUAUAGAUCAUGUGAGGCUAAAUUGUUAAUUAAUAAGCACUCCAUUUGGUUGAUAAAGCUACUGAGUGGAUGCUAUCAUUUUUGAGUCUCUCGUCACUAAUAUUAACUUUAUUGGCUUUUGUUGUGGGUGUGUGGUAAGGUUAGAAGAAACAAUUAUAUUUCAAGAAGAAGGAAAUUUAUAGUGUAAGCCAUGUUUGAUGGGUGUGGUUUACUAAUGUGGUGUUUUCUCUUUGGUUGUUCUUUUUAUCUGCUUAGCAAUUUCUGGAAGCAUGAGAUGUUAUUGAAUGCUGCUUCUUUAUUUUAGCGUGCAGACUGAGAGAGCUAUAGUUACAGAAAUUGCUGGGACCACUCGGGAUGUGGUUGAAGCCAGUAUUACAGUUGGUGGUAUUCCUAUAACCCUUCUUGAUACAGCAGGCAUCAGGGAAACCAAUGACGUGGUGGAGAAAAUCGGUAAACUCUCUCUCUCUCUUUGCUCAGUCUUGAAUGGCUAGAUAUCCAUAGUUGAUGUAUAUACAUGAUGGAACAUGAAACCAAUUUGGUAAAACUGCCUCUAUUUUUUCUUAUUUUCUUAAAAAGACUACAAACAAGUUUGGCUCAUACUAGAAUACUUUUCUAGUAACAUAAGAAUUCGGUUAUUUUCAAUAUUGAUCAAUUUGAAUUGGGUAGGGCCAUGGGCCUUUCUAUGAAAAGUGAGAUACUUCACUGUAUUCCAUUUGGAGUGUUUUGUCUUUGCUGCUUCUAAGAUCCCAAAGAAAUCUGUACUUUACUGAGGUCAUUUUUGAGUUUAGUUUUAUAGUGACAAGUAGAAUAUCACCGAAGAUAUUCACAAUUGCAUUUAUUUCUGAGUAAUCAUGAUGUAAUCACGGACCAGUUGACAAUUGUAAUGUUGCUAAUUGGAUAUUAAUUGCUGACAACCAAUGAUAUCGUACUUCGCUGGAUGCUUGUUUUAUUAUGGCAUUGGGUAUCACUAUUGGAUAUCUAAAUUCCUUUAUCUCCUUUAUAUCACAGGUGUGGAGAGGUCAGAAGCAGUGGCUAUGGGUGCUGAUGUUAUUAUUAUGACAAUAAGUGCUCUUGAUGGCUGGAGUCCAGAAGACUCUGAACUUCUUGACCGAAUUCAAUCUAACAAGGUACCCUCUCAUUUCUCUGUCAUAUGAAUAUGCCUGUAUCUGCAUUUGUUGAUCCUUGUCUUUGAUUAUGCAAACUGCUGCUCAGGCUAUACAACUCUGAUCUGUUAUGUCAUUUACAGAAAUCGACUGGAUCUUCAACUCCAAUCAUCCUUGUAAUUAACAAAAUAGAUUGUGUUGCUUCUGAUUGCUUGGAGCGGGUUCAACAAAAUGUCGGUUCUUUCAAUAACCAUGUUUUGACAUCUGCAAUCACUGGUCAAGGAAUCCAAGAUUUGGAGAAGGCAAUAUUAGAUAUUGUUGGUCUCAACAAAUUUCGAGGAGGGAGUCGAAGGUGGACUGUGAACCAGGUUAGGAGUUGGUUAAAUUUAUAUAUUUUGGUGUCUGUGACAUACCAAAAAUUUAAAGCAUUUUCUGGUCAAGAUAUUUUUGUUAUUUUUUAUUUUUUGAGAAUGUGCUGGUCAAGCAUUUGCAAUCACUGAUUGUUGUAUAAAAUUUUGAUGAUGCAUCAGAGACAAUUCGAGCAGCUUGUCCGAACAAAAGAGGCUCUUGCAAGGUUGAAAUCCUCAAUAGAGGAGGAAAUUCCUUUUGACUUCUGGACGAUUGAUUUGAGGGAAGCUGCAAUGGCCCUUGGCCAAAUAAGUGGAGAAGACAUUUCGGAGGAGGUUUUGACCAACAUCUUUGGCAAGUUCUGCAUUGGUAAAUAGAAGAGCUAGAAAAUGUAUUGAUCUGUAGAAAGUUUUGUACCAUGUUAGAUAUGAAGGGAGAGACGGUUCUUUACCAUGAACAACAGAGUUCAUAAGAAAUUUUUAAUGGAAUAACAAUGUCAUGAAUGCUCUUUUGUUUUAUGCCGGAUUACUUGUCUAUAUCUAUCUUAGACUCUGAGUCGUUUUGGAGAUAGCUGAAUAUGAGAUCUCAGCUUUAGGUAUUAGGAACCAAAGAAAAAUGGCCUUUUUGUGGCUUGACAUGCAAUAUGGAAAUGCCAACAAAUGUUCUUUGGACGGCAAUGUAUAGAUGACAAGAGAAACAUUGUAACGCAAGAAACAACAAAUGAGACGGCUGCCACUUGAAAUCAACCCAGAUGGUACAAAACAAAAGCUGAUAUAUAUUCAUGCAUUCUUCAGAAAAGUGAACUGUAAUCCUCUAAAGCAAAAUGUGUUUCAAAAUAGGAAAAGAACUGACGAAGGAGGAACUAAAGGAGAAGGAGAAGAUAAUGAAAGCCAAGGAGAAGGAGAAGAGGAAAAAACUAGAACAGGAGAAAGAGUUGGAGAAGAAGAGGCUGGAACAAGAGAUGAAGAAGAGGCAAGAGAAAGAGAAGAAGAAACGUGAAGAAAUGAAACGAAAAGAGAAGGAGAAGGCGAAGAUGAAGAUGAAGCACAAGAUGAAGAAAUGAGCAGCUCAACUGGAUUUCCUCAGAUAGUCUAGUGUAACAUUUUGUAUUUCAACUUUUGGCCUAGUGAUUCUUGCCUAAACAGCAAUUUUUUUAAUUUCAUCAAGCUUUGUGUCCCUCAAAAAUUUGAAUUGAAUCUUCAUAAUGAAAAUUUGGGAACACUUACAAAAACGGACGAGGCAAAAUGAAUAUGUAAUUAUAAACUGAAUAAUGAACAAUUCUUACAGGAUAUUACAGACUAUAUCAUAACUUUAUUUUCAAGCAUCAAUGAGCCAUGUAGGAAAAUAAUGACACAGAGCCUGCAAAUGCUGGUUGUUUUACUAUUGAAGCUAUCUAUUCCCCUUAUACUUUUACUUGUGGUUGUGACUAACAAAAUUUACAAUGUAGAACAAGUCUACUCACUAACACCCUCUGCCUCAAUAUACAAUGAAGCUUCUCUAUCAGCCAACUAAAUCAUUGAUGUGUCUGAUAUGAAAGCAGUCACUGUGUUCUUAUAUCUGCUAAGAUCAAAUAAGAAAUGCACCUACGUGUCGAUAAAACUAUGAUUCAGGCACAUACAAGCACAACAAAUUCGUGGGACUGUGGUCGCACAUGAAGAACCAACGUUCCCAUCACCCAAGCACCUUCCGGAGUUCCUCAACCAACAAUGAUCGGCUUGAUGGCUCAACCUGCGUUAGAAUUUCAUCAUUAGCUCCAGGUGGCUAGAAAUAAAAAAGACAGGAAUUUGUAAAAAAAAAGAAAAAAAAGAAAAAAGAAUAAACAUGAUGAUUUACCUUGCUUAGAAGGGCGGCAAGACCUUGGGGUAGGGCUUGCAAAUCAGAAGCUGAGUUGCCAAUGGUUGCCAAUUGAAGCAAUACCUUCUGGACCCGAAGUUCUUUUAGCUUGCCCUCAUAAUUUGUUUGAUCAUCCUUCCAUCUAAAGAAAGUUUCAUCAUCCUCCCAAGCAUCUUCUUUGCCUCUUGAAACAUCAGAACUCAAAAACCAGUUCUUGAUCAAAUCCAUAGCAGAUUUAUGUGACAGCUGUUCACCAGCAGCAUCUCUCACUAUCUUGAUGAGUGACUCAUCGGCAAUUCUCCGACGCAAUCUCUUGUAGAAGAAAGAUCGAGAGCUGGCCCAUUCCAGAACUCCUCUGAUUACCCCUUUUGCAGCCAUCCUCAGAGAAGUAUCAUGAAGUUCUGCAAACUUGGUAGCUAUCUGAGUGUAGACAGGCAAAAGCUGUUUUUCGCGGGAUCGUAUUUGAAACUGUAGGGACUCAACCUUUUCAUUUGCCUCACAGCUCCUGGCUUCCUGAAGCUGAGUCUUUAGUUGGAUCAGCUGUUGAUCAAGCCUGCCCAUGCACUCCAGCAAUUCCUUGUUCCUAAACUUGAUCUCGAUCAUCCCCUCUGGCUCAAGCACAUUUCCUCUAGCCGUUCGAUCAGCAUACAUUUCAAUAUGGUCUGGAUUUAUCCGGCUAUCAACAACCACCCAUGCUCCACCACGUAGCUCCCCCAUCAUCGGGAUGAAUACAAAAACAGGCUGUUUGUAAGUCCUAAGGUUCUCCACAAUGGUUGAUCCAGCCUGAAGAAUCCCUUCAAAAAGGUCUCUCUGCCCACCAGAAAAGCCUCUCCAGUUGGCAAGAAUGAAAAGUGGGAGUCCUUCUCUGUUGAAAUCUAAUAAUGCUUGGGCAGUCUUAGUAGCAGAAUCAGGAAACCAUACUUGUCCAGCCUGAGGAACAACCCUCUCAUGGGAAUCAAGCUGGCCUGGAUCAGCAGGGAUAAUUUGCAUCACAGUCUGUGUCUCAACAGCAACAAUUCCCACAGGGAUUCCUCCAAGCUUCGCCCUUCCAGUAACCACCGUCCUUGCCCAGCCUUCUAGCGUCUCAACAAAGCUGUCUUUAUCAAAUAUACCCCCCAUCCAGUUCCCAUUACCAUUCAGAGCACCAGAAAUCGCAGCUCGAGGAUCACAUGAAUUCUCCGGGCAAUACUCCACGGGCCUUUCUGGAGGAUCCAAGGGCAUCGAAAUGGGGAGUGGGCCACCAACAUGAGGAGGAACAUAGCUCAGCCACUUUAGAAUAGCAGAUAUUCCUUCAAGAUCAUCAGCUACCGUUAGAUGGACAACCCCAUUAGUUCCCAUAAUUUUAGGUCCUCCAAGUUGCAUAUGGGAGCUGUACACCUCCCGACCAAGUAGUUUGUUUAAUGCAGAGAAACCAGUUAAAAUGAUGGGCUGAUCAAGCCUCUGUAUGCACCGCAUCCCAAGCCUUGCAAGAUAAGCACCUAUACCUACAGUUCUGCCAGUCACAUAUGUUAAGGUAAAGGUUUCCUUAUAUGCCCUCGAAUAUGCACCAGCAAUUGCCCCACUUCCAGUCAAGCUCUCAACCCCCAAGCCAUCCUCCUUUCCGACAAUGGUAUCUAUCACCCAUCUGGUUUCACCACUUGAUAGCUUUAUUUCAUGCGCUAUCACAGAAGAUCCAAUCCGAGCAUAGUCCUCAGAGGUUAAAUACACAUAUUGGAAACCACGUUCAGGGCUUGAUUCAUCAGACCAGCCCACUUUAAAACAGGAUUUGACUUCUUCAGCAACCCCAAUACGAGCACCUGAGUUUGCUGCCAAGUAUAUUAGAGGCAACUUCUCAGCACAAGCAAGCUCAGUUACUGCAAAGAAGAAUGCAUCCUCUCUUGGACCAAAAGAUCCAGCUUUGUAGGUCACAUCAUUUGCAACAACCAAUAUCUUCCUUCCAGAAGGGAACUCAGGGGUAGACAUUUCCAUAAACCAUGCUAUCAUACCAACAUCAUUGAGUCCAGGUGGACGCUCUACGGUAAUGAGAGGAGUACCCCAGCUGCCUUUUUGGUCAGCGAAUUUGAGCUCUGUGACCUUGAGAAUUUUACCCUUUAGUUUGUUAACACUUGGUGACUGGGAUGCCCAUGACUGUUCCAAGGCCGUCUCAAACGCCUAUUAAAAACAUAAAAACACAAGUUAGUUUUACCAUAUCUGUAAACUGUGUAAAACAUAAAAUUAUUUAUUGAAAAAGAAAAAAAAAAUAAAGAAACAUUCCUAUCAGACAUCUCACCAGUGGAAAAUCAUAGCAGUAAGUGGUGUUAGUUCUCCUGGCCAACAGACGCUUUCGGUCAAUAAUCCCCAAAGGCUGAUAUUGCUCAUUCACUGGUACACCAUGCAGGGGACCCUUCACAGAGACUGAAUGGUAAACCACUCUCUGUUUGCUAGUAUCUUCUUGUUCCCGAUAUAUCUGAAUAUCAUGUUGACCAAAAGUACAAUCAUGACUCAUAAUUCAUAUUCACAUUGUCGUCUGAUCAGAAUUUAGAAUAACAUACCGGUCUUUUGCUAUAUUAUUCACAGCUUAUUUAUAUUAUUGGGGUUUCCUUGAAUAAAAGAUCUAAGAAAAAAAUAUGCAUGAAAUAGUGAAGAUUUUUUUUUUUACUGAUAUUAUUCUUCCAUUGGUUAAAUGAAGAUUUUUUUUUCCCUGAAAAUAAAUAUAGAUUCUAUCUUAAGUUGAAUAAAAUGUAGUGCAAUGUCAGUAUUAAAGAAAAUACUGAUAGGACCCAUCCUUUGUAAACCAACCAAUGAAUUCUUAAAAAAAAAAUGCAAGCAUAUUCUUCAAUGAAAUGUAUGCGAUAUAUAUAAACAUACAUGUACAGUGCAGGUAUGACCGGUCACAUUUGUCACGACAACCCUCCAAGCAACGUUUGCCUGUCCAGAGGAUGCCAUCCACAACUUCACUUCCCACUCACAAACACCCAACCUAUGCAUCCUUACACCAACUGAUGCGUGGAUUUCACGUGCAAGUUCUUCCAGGAUGGCCUCCACCACAGUUUCUUCUUGUUGAGCAUCUAAAUCAACUCUCCUACACAAUAAUACCAAUAAGAAAUUCUAGAAAGUUGGCUGUCUUAUCAUGGAAGAAAAAAAAUUGGAUGGGAAAAAGAAAUAUUUACUUGUGGUAAGGCAGCAUAUCAUUAAUUUGUUGCUCACGUAAGAUAUAAAGAUACAUAUGGGUGUGGUCAGAUUUGACAGUGGCAUUGUGCGCAUUCAAUUCCAGCUCUUCCAUUGCUGUUGAUAAGGACCUCAAGAUGCUCCUCGAAGUAAAUGAUAAAGCCAAUUGGUUACUAGCUGUUGCGAUGUCUAGCCGUUGAAAUCCAGAGAACCCUUCAUUUGUUGUGGGCUGCCUUACAAGUGUUCUGAGGAACAUCCUUUGGAUCGGUAGCGGCUUGUCUACAACGGUGUACAGGUGCCAUUGACGGUCACGGGAUGGGGUAUACUGGAUAUUCUCAUAGCCCUUAAGCUUGUCCUGGAUCAGAAGAAAUGUUGAGUUACUUCAUAUCAAGGGUUAAUGCGAGAACAAUUUGUCACUCUUAACAUAAGGGCUAGGCAUAAAGCCAGGAAAUUACCAAUUCAAGAUAAAUAGAUAGAGGAGGUUCUAGGUGACGCAAUAAGGGUUCUUCUUCAAAAUAGAGUUUCUCUGAUGACCAGUGGAAGGAGUGCCUCAUAGGGGGCCGCCCUUCAUCCCUUUGUAUGAUACAACUAAUUACUGUGACACCUGCACCAUGUAGACUGGAGGCUAGUCCUUGCUCUUUAAGUAUUUUGGCUAACUUCUUAAUUCUCUCUUGAGCCUGAUCCUCGUCGCCACUGGCAAAUAUCAAAAGACAAUGCUGGUCAAGAUGGUAAUUUUAACUGUAGGUUCUGUUUGACAUGUCUUUGCAGAUAGACAAAGAAACCAAAAAAUGUCUAUGACAAGAUGGGUCCUCCAGAAAUUUUAUGUGCAUACUAAUCCAAGUCACUAAGUUAUGAACCAAUUAAAAGAGAACCCCAGUAUUGCAGAUAAAGUAUACACUCUAACAUGCGAAGGGGCUCCCAAGAUUCAAUGCAUGAUUAACUUUAAGUUGCAAACUUCAAGGCUAAAAUAAUGGGCAGAUACAGUACCUAUCCUGUAGCAGACUCAUCUGAUUGUUGAUGCCAACCAAAGCAAUAUGCAUCAUAUUACCAAAGCCACUUGGUUCAGUAGAUCCAUUUGGAGUUGCUUCAUGAAGGUUAUGCGACAUUUCCUUCAGUGCACCACUAAUAAUUGCUGGAAGAAAGUGAAGAGAUUUUAUUAUAACCAUGACUCCCCAUUUCCUCUCCUCGUGUUUCUGAAGGAAUGUUUUAUUAACUGAUUGAUCUUCAAUCUCAUGUUUCCUCUCAACAGGUUCUUCCGAGAACUCCCAUGAAGCUAUUAGACCUGAUCUGUGCCACUGCAUCCUGACACUCCCCUUUACAAGGUAGGGCUGAUGACGAAUAAAAAGUUAAACAAAGAAAUCGGCUAUUGAAAGUAAAGUAAGCAGCAGUGAAAUGUUAAACCACAGUACCUGGUAUAACCGGCGUACAUAACUUUCGACAACCCGCCUCUGAAGGGUGUGAUCACCAUGAUCAAACAGACCAACAAGGGCAUCUUCGACUGCCAAAGGUGCACUCACAAGAUCCUCCAUUCGUUCAUUUAUGGCACUUUUCCUCUUCGGAGUAUCCAUGGUUUCACCAUCCUCAGUAAACAUCUCCAACUCAGAAAGACUUCUGGCAAUGCUAGAACGAAGUUCACUCAACUUGGUUUGCUCCAUCAGCUGACUCGCUUUUAGUGCCAACUGUAGAUUUAGAGUAAUUAGGACUCUUCAAAAACUUAAGGAUACUAGUCUAAAAUGGCGAUUAUAUUUGAAAACUUAAAUAACAAGAAAGAAAUAUAUGUAUAUUAAAAGCUAACAGUUAAGCAACUUGGUUAAAUUGGUGCAAUAGCCAACCUGAGAAUAAUUUGUAUGGUUAAGUGAAGAAAACCGAAUUAGCUUCUCCCUGUAUGCUGCAGGGUUGGGGUAUACCAGCUGUUCCAUGAGUCGUAGAAUCAGCUUAUUUUUAUUCUUUACACCCUGAAAGCAAGUGAUAAACAGUACUGUUACAAAAUAAUUCCAAUAAAAAAUUGAAUGAGACGUGGGGAAGGCAAGCAGACCGAGAAUGUUGUAAUUUAGGUACCUGAUGAGAGAGCACAAUUUCCACAACCUUCAAUAGAUCCUUCUUAUAUUGAAGUCGAAGGCGCUCAAUUACAUCAGCCUGGAGCAAAGAAAUAUGAUAAUCUUAGGAUUCAAGCAUCGGAAUAUACUUUCACAAAUUUACAUAGUUCAUAUCUAUGUGGGGGCAGCUCUCAAGUCUCUAAUUUAACUGGUUGCAGCAGAACUACAAAGCUAAAUACCAAGCUUAAAUUCCAAUUAUAAGUAACCAAUGUAUUUAUUUAUGAUAACUUGAUCAAGUACAUAUAAAACAGAGAAUCAAAACCAAAAGAGAGAAAAUAAAAAUAAAAUCAAACUGAGACAAAAAAAAGGUUAAUUAUGAUUGAUGACAUGGCCAAACAAAGGAUUGGAAGUUAUACACCACCUUAUAUUAAAAAUAAUAUAAAAAAACAAUUAUGACUACCAAGCAUGUUUCCGUGAUAUGUAACAAGAAAACAACUACAAGUGGUUUGGUUUUUCUCUUGUAUGCAUGACUAUAUACUGUUAUACCAUAAUCAUGCCAGCACGUUGAUUCAUUAUAAAACCCAAGAGCAAAGGCCCUUUAUGAGCAUAAGUAUGGUACAUCAAUAAAGUAUAUUGAAAAAACAAACUCCAUUCAACUAUGCACACAAAAAUGGUACUGGAGUUGCUCACAUUAAUGGCUUGAUAAUUGUAAACAACUAUUUUUUUCAUGGUGAAAGUCGAACCUGAAUGUUGUCACUGAAUAAUUCUUCAACUGACAGAUACUCUUCAAAAAGGGAUUGAACAAUAACUCGGGCAUGACUUUCUCUUCCACCUUCAUAAGACUUCACAAGGCUCAUUAAAGGUUCAACAAGCCUUUCUUGGGCUCCUUUUUCUUUAUCAGGAGAGGAGAACAGAUGAGCCUGCAGAUACAUCAGACCAAUAUUCUUAUGAGGAAGAUGAAAAAAGAGAAGAAGCUAGAUGGAGUUUGAAUACAGAACUCACCUCGAGAACGCUACGCAACAAUUUGGCAGGGAAAUCAACAUUCUGAGAGCUAGAAAUCAGCUCAAAAUCCUUACAUUUUGAUUCCAGCUGUAAAGUAAAAUGAAAGAAGAGAUAUGAGUAAAGACUAUUGCAGAAUAAAUCAGAGGGAAAACCCACCCAGGCCUGCUUACUUCAUUUUUCAGAUUCUUGGGUAGGCGGGUUGCUAAAACAGCCAAGCAUUCUUGCCAUUGAAGGAAAGGGAGUUCGGGACUAUCUAGGCAAUUGAGCAAGUUUUGCACUACCUGAGAUAGAUGACAGACUCUUCAAUAAGACGGGUUUAAGUAUGAUGUAAUGAUCUACCAAAUGAUAUUAUAGACAAGAAAAAGAAUAGAUAAAUACAUAUCUCAAAUAUUAUGUUUUACAAUGAAAGACAACUCACUUCAUCAAUGUUAUGCUCAUAACCAGCAAGAAUCAUUCGGGCUGCGUUUAAGCUUGCAGCACAUCUCUGAUGAACUUUACCAGAAAUUGCAGUUGGAGGCCCCAGGACAGGGAAGCUUCCAUGGAAAGGUUCUGCCUUUCUUACAGCCGAAGGGUCAUCUAAAUCAAGCCUUGCAAUAAGUUCACCAGCCUAUACAAAAAAACAUUAACUUUUUUUAUUUCCACUAAGAUAAGAAUGUCUUUUUGUUCUUUUAUUUUAUUUAUUUAUUGUGAAAUUAGUACGUGAUUUACCUGCAUUGCCUGGCCUUCAGACAAUUGAAAGUGGAUAACUCCUGAAGCAGGUGAAAGUAGAGGCAUACACAUCUUCAUAACCUCAACCUCCGCAUAUGGUGUAUCAGCAUCGACAUGACUAUCAUCAGCAACCAAGAACCUCAACAGCUUGCAUGGUGUCUCUGCUAUUAACUUGGAUGGAUCAUGAUCGUUCUAGAUUCAACAAAGGUCAACUACUCAGCAUAUGUAAUGUGUGAGCAAGCAAGCGAAAUGAGGAAAGAAGAGCAGUGGAGGAACCUGAAGCAAGCAUGUCCGUCCAUCAAUAAGAAGGCGAGUUCCAGCUGCUUCUUCCUCUGCAUAUAUAAUGUGACUGUUUCCAUCCAACUGUAACAACAUUUAAGUAAUAAGUAACAGCAGCAGCUGACAGGUGCAAUUAUACAGUAUGUACCAAGUGUUGGUGCACAAGAUAUUGUGGAUGCAGCAAAUUGUAAGAAUAUAUUAGCAUGCCGACAUUGACAUGAUUAACCUGAUUGAUGACAUUUUUAGAGGUGCCAAAAUACACUUCUUUAAUCAAAAUGACAAUUACUGUAUAAAUUAAAUAGUCCUACUACAAGAUAAGUAAUACGAAAUAUGAGCAAGAGUAGAAUCACUUUUGGAGCUACGACAUGAAAAUUCUAAAGACAAUAGUUAUACUUGCCUGCAUCAGUAAUCCUCCAUCGCGUAAAGUAUGUAUCUCUGCUUCAACCUCUGAGUCAUUCAUCCGCAAUCUAUAGUUCCCAGGGCCUCCUCUCACCAUAUCAAUCUAGAAUAGUUGAUUGUUGGUUAUAUAUAACUAUUGAUUCUACCAACAAUAAAUCUCCUAAAGGUCCUAAGACAUAAAUUAGACUUGGAAUGAACCAACAUCAUAGGAGAAAAUACCGUGUAUUUGCUCCCCUCGAUGUUCAAAGACACUUGUGAAUGGACAAAUGAUAUAUGCUGCAAUCAGGAUCAUAAUUAAAAGAAAAAUGUUAAUUAGAAAAGACACAUAAUCAUGUAUGUAGAUUAAAACUUUUUACAACCAUACCUUAGGUGGGAUUUGCCCCUUCUCAAGAUAGCCAAUAUAAUCUGAAACCAUCGCCGCACUACUAGCAGAUGCUUUCUGAACAUGACAUAGGUAGGAACCAUAAGGGACACACUUUGCAAAUGGAAUAAUAAAAAUUAAACAACAAUGAAAAUAGUGGCACUUACAGAAAGAGUCCCUCCAAUUACAGACAGAUACCAAGGAGGCCUUUCAGUUCUAACUCGCAUAGCAAUUCUACUAUCCAACCAACCUGUGUGGAUUUUAUUUUCUCUGUAAUCUGAAGCCUACAACAUGUUAAAAAAACGUUACUUGGCAUGCCAUGAAAAUAUUAUGUCAUUUACAUUAUCUAUUUCAUUGAUUACGGUAUUGACUUCAUUCAGAGAUAUUGUGAAGAUUACAUGUAAAAGAUCAAUUGAAUAAUCCACAUUUGUUCGAAUUUCUCCUCGAAUUUGAAUUUCCUUCAGCCCAAGAACCAUAUUUGCAAUAGCUAGAGCUCGAGACUCUCCAAAUGCAAAAACAUGUCCUGGAGAACAAAACAUAUAAUUUGAGAUUUUAAAACUGUAUGGUCCUACAUUAUUUAGAUUGUCUUUGCUAUUACCGAAUAAAAUAGAAAAUUCAAAAAACUUAGCAGUAUACAUACCAAACUGAGAAUCUGAGAACUCAUGAAUCCCCCCUCCAGACUGCAAGUCAAAACAUCUAUCAGAAUUAGUUUGAGAAUUACAUCUUCCUUCUUUCCUCUUCUUUUCUGAGGAAAUGCAUUGUUAUCAACUUCCGAGAUUUUACCUUAACAGAAAAGUAUGCCCAAACAUUUGGCUUGCUUUUGAAACUCAGCUCCUGCAUAUAGUAGCUUAACUCAGUAUAGAUCCCUCAAAGCAUUAUGGGAAAGAAAGAAAACGUGAAACUGACGAGUCAUGAUAACAAACCUGAACUUUCCCACUAGUAGGUUUAAAGCCAUCAUCUGGAUCCUCACUUGUUACACGCACAGCAACACAAUGGCCCUUUGGCCUUGUAGAUUCUGCCUUGUCAAAGUCAAACGGGGUGGCAACAACCGACGUCUUUCUCCACGCAUCAUAUCCACUACCAUGUUCCAUUCCAUAGAACCGCCUUAUCUCUAAUCAAAUGAAUAAAUGGAAAAAGAAAACUUGACAAAUUAGAAGUUCGACUCAGACAAAUAAAUAUAUAUUUGAAAAAAAAAAACAGUUCCAGAAAAUAAGAUGAUACCAGGAAUUUGCCAGAGAGGAAUGCCCAUCCCAACUGCAACUUGGGCUGCUGGCAGAUUUAUUUCUGCUAUCCACUCAGUGACUGGGUGCUCCACCUACAUUGAAUUAAAUCUACAGAUUUAGCACGUUCAAAUUAAAUGUUUUGAGAAAAAGAUGCAAGAAUAGAAGCCAACUCAGUUUGCCCAUGGAUAGACAUUAGUAGAAGCUAUACAAAAUUCUUGCUAUCCUACUGAUCAUAUAAUUCCAAUCCCUUUCUAAGAGGUUGCAUUAAGACUGAUGGCUUGGUUAGUACAUAUAAAGCAUAGUUUCUUUUUAUGUUCACUUUAAUCACACACAAUACAUGUGUCACUGUAUUAUUCAAUAACCAAAACAAAUUUAAGAUGGUAUUUGAGAACAGUAAGUCAAAAUGAGACGGCAGCCAAAGUUAAGGCUUGAACCCAAAUAACACACCUGCAACCGAGGGUUCAACUCUAAGAAAUAGUACUCGCCAGUGUCCAUACUGUACAAAUACUCAACAGUUGCUGCUCCAACAUAAUUAACACAUUUAGCCAACCUUCGAGCUGACUGCUCCAACUUUUUAAUUGUCUCUGGUGGAGCUACAGUUAUUGGACCCUCCUCAAUAAUCUAUAGAAAACAAAACAAGAAAAGUUAUUCUUCAUGAGAAACAACUGCAAUAGCCAAUACAGUUCACAAAUAAAACAGAAUAUAAAAAAUAAAAAUAAAAACUUUAGAAUUAAAAGAAGAAGAGUACCCAAAGUCAAAUUAGUGACUAUUGAAACAUCAAAUCAAGUUUACUAGUCACAGCAAGAUUACCUUCUGGUGCCGCCUUUGAACACUGCAAUCACGACUGUGCAAAGCUGCAACAUUUCCAUGCUGAUCACAUAGUAACUGGACUUCUAAAUGUCGGCUCUGAUAGACAAUAAAUCAUUUGUUAAAUUGGCGAUAUAUGAACUGAGUCCAGCAAUUAUGCUCGUCUAUAUUAAAAUCAAUAGAGGUUCUAACCUGGGACGCGACUUUCAUUAUGAAUAUGGGAGAUCCAGGAACUUCACCCUGGACUUGCUUGAACAAUGCCCUAACUUCAUCAUCAUUAUGGACCUAGAGGUCAAACAUUUAAUUUCAGCCAAUUAUUCAAAAAGGGAGGACAAAGAUUCAAUCAAAUUCCUUAACAAGUUGGAUAAGCUAAUGAAACUCAUUUCAGGCUUAGUGAACGCGUUACUGCAUAUAAUAUCGUUUUUCUUUUUCUAUCCUUUUUCUUUUUUUUGGAUUUGGAGAAAACUUUUACCUAUAUAAGAUUCAAAGCUAGAUUACAACUUUAGUCAAGUAAAUAAUAUAAGUUCAAAAGAGAAGGGCAACACUGUCAUGCAUGAAGCAUACCUUUCUUAUGCCUUUACCACCACCACCCCAUGAUGCCUUAAUCAUGGCCGGGUAACCAACAACCUGACAACUUGCAAUUGCUUCCUCUGUUGUGUAAACGCAUGCUUCCCUAUAUAUUUCAUCUGGGAUUGUAACCAGGCAGCUCUCUGAAGGAAUUUUCACCUGGAAAUCAGAUAUUAAUGAUAUUAUAUGUGCGACAUAACUGCAAGAGAAACCAAAGGAAAAACAGGGCACAAAUUUCGGUGAAGAAAUUAUACAUGUGAUCCGCUCCAUGGAAGGGUAGGUACUUCAGCAGAUUGAGCAAUUAAUGAUGAACCGAUUUUAUCUCCUAAUGCUGCCAUAGAGACAGCUGGUGGCCCAAGAAAUAUUAUGCCCUUAGCAGUCAAUGCAUCUGGAAGCUCAGGGAUCUCAGAUGCAUGGCCCCAACCAGGCCACACUGCAUCAACAUGUGUUAUCUCUGCCAUCUGGGUAGUAAAGAACAAUGAAAUCAUUUGAAUCAAUAAUAAAUUUUACUAAACUGAUGAAAUGUUCAGAGCUACACAAGUAAUACAGCAUCUCGUGUUUUGUUUAACUUAUCAUGCUAUUUUAUAUUCCAUUGAGGUGGUAUGCAAUGAAGCUACUUUGGUAACAAGAAAUGCUCUCAGUUUGAGACAUUCAAUUGAUAACACACCCAAUGCAUUGGGAUAUAUAGAGUGUUUGAUGACAUUGUAAAAAUAAGCAUGGUUUACUGAAUUAGCUCAAUUUGCUUCACAUUUGGUAGCCAAUGAAACAAAGAGCCAGAAAAUCUGUUCAGGAUUGCAACCAUGUUAGUGAGGAAGUAUCUGCUGUAGAGGUCACAUACUUUGCCCAAGUGAACCACUCAUUUUUCGGAGUGACAGAUACAUCAAGAGAUAUAGUUCACAAGUAUACGAAUUCUGGAUGGCCCAUCAAUAGCCUCAUCAAUUGAAACUUCUAAUACAUUUUUAUAUUAAAUUCUUUAUUAAAUCCACUAACAAACAAAAAAAAUGUAAGAUCAAACCACUCAAACAUCUUUUAGCUAGAAGGGUCCUGGAUUUAUUGAGAUUUCUGCUUUCUGGUCAUACUUUCAUAGUAAUAAAAGAAAAAAUAUAUGUGGAAACACAUGAAAACAAAUGAGAGUCAAGAGCUUAGUACACACCUCUACAAUGAGCUGCACAUUGGCAUAGUUAUUAUUGUUAGUUCCACCAGGAACUUCCACAAACUGAUCAGCAAUUCUAAUGUGUUCUGCAUUGAUUCUCAUGUCUUCUGGUGUGGCCAUGGCCACCAACAAAACAGCCUUUUCUGUGCCAAAUGUUUCAUAAGCCCAUGUCCUCACACUACGUAUAAACUUGACUGCUGCCAUUCCAUUGUUUGCUAUUAAAAUGCUAUGGAUUGGCUUCUUCCCACCAAGGGCAUAGCAGAACUCCUCAACUGCAGGUGCCGCAGCAGGGGACCUGAUUGAUAGUCCCCCAUUUACGUACCCAUUAGUACGAGGAAUACUAACAGUUGAAAUCAAUCUCCUUUGAGCUUCUGACAUCCUGCAGGGAAAUAAAUCAUGUUAUCAACUUGGCCAAGCUAAUUUCAAGGAACAAAAUUAGAUAAAGAUUAUACACUUCAGUAACCAAAUAAGCUGUCUAGAAAAUAUUGAUAGAUUAAAGUUUCUGUAAUUGUGAAUUGAACAUGUCCUAACUUCCCCCCUUCUUUUCUGUUUUCCAUCAUUCAUAAAGCAAUCGACUCUACGAUCCUAUUUGCAAGAUAGCAGCGAAUGUAAACAUCAACCUGGUUAUACUUGGGCGGCCUUUCGAUACUUGCAUCUAAUUCUAUGCCAAUUAUGAACUCUAAUCUCAGCUGUAAUGCUUCACUAACCCAAGCUUAGGCACUUCAAACACAUCCUAAAGGUAUAGUCUUUGGGUGCAGUGUGGCAUAAACAUCGACUUCAAUCAAAAUAAGGCACUACCAAAAAGGAAAGAAACAAGGUGCAACUUUGUUCAACCACAAACUCCACAAAGGUGCAGACUUUGUUCCCAAAUUCACACCAAACACAACAAAGUCACAGUAUUUUGGAGUUCCCAAUACAAAUUCCAAUCCCAACUAUAACUGAACUACUUCCCAACUACUUGCACCCAUUAAAAAAAAAAAGACAGCAAUUUCAGAAAAAAGCAAAUUGCUUUAAAGGGUUAGAGGAAAUGGGUGACAGACCUUGAUGAAGAAAAUGAAGCAGGAGCAGCAACCCUGAUCGAAACUGCUUCAAAUUGGUAUCUGGGUAGCAAGCAUUACAAUGAAUCAAGAGAACCCAGAAUGCGUAUGUGAGAAUGUGAAAGGAAUGGUGAUCAUAGAGAGAGAGAGUGAGAUAUACAGAGAGAAAGAAUUCUAGACCCAAAUUUGAGUUUUUAAAUGAAUUGAAGAGAGGUAGGUGCGGGUUUGGGUUUGUAUUGCUAAGUUUUUAACGGCUUUAAUAGGAGUUGCACGUGGUAUCUGCCUCUGCCACACCAUCUUCCUUUGUUAGUAGUAACUCCCCAGCUACCCCCGCCCCUUCGGUCUCUCUCUUUCUCUGUUUCUCUCUCUAAAACAAUUCAAAGAUGAUGGAUGUGGGUCUCUCGUGUUCUUACUCCUCAAAUGAAUUUCCCUCGAGUUUUUGUGUUUUAAAUCCCCAAUUUGGGUCAUCAUGGUUCAUGAAUUUGGCACUUGCCGUGUGCCUUGAGCCCUUGACUGUGUGUUGGAUGGUGAGGUUAACCAACCAAACCUUCCCUCCCCCUUGUUCUGUCUUAUAUGAGUUCUAUGGGAUAAUGAUAUUGUUUAACUGUUAUGUAUGUAUACAUACUCAUACAUUAUAUUGCAAAGUUUUGUUAUUUGACAACAAAUCGGUGGCUUUUUGUUUGUUCAUUUUUCAAAAUUGAACUCGCACUAAAAGUAUGAUUUGUUUUGUACUAUUCUGUUAUGAUUUUGAUAUCACUCUAAUUUUAAUGAAUUGAUUUUCGUAACUGAAACAUGAUAUUAUAUCUUAAAAAAACAUUACAUACUCGAUGCAGUUUAUGAAUAAGCCACAAAUCAAGAAUAAAAAUAAAAGAUUGACACACAAGGGCACUCUUAAUGAUCUAACCUAAACCAAUUAAAUGUGACCGGCCGUUUCAAAAGAAACCACACACAACAUGUUGGACUGCUAACGAGUAUUCAGAUAUGUAGUAAUUGUUGAAGUAGUCUUGGGUUCAUAUGUUGCGAUGGAUGAAGUGGUCUAAACUCUUAUGUCACAUGUUGGUGGGAAGAUGGACGUGGCACUAGUUUGACCGGGUGAUCACAGCUGGGAGUUGGGUUGAUUAGGGCGGUUGUUGUUGGGCCCAAUCUUGGAAGGAUGGCUGAGCCGAACAAGACCACGAUUCCUAUUAGGUUGAGGGUGAUCAUGCUGCAUGCCCUUCUAGGUUAGUCCCCUCUGUGAAGGGCAGGGCCGGUCCAAUGUUUUGAAGGACCCGGUGCGAGAAAAAAUUGGGGCCCUUUGUGUUGAGAAAAAAAAACUUGAAAGAACACUGAUUCCAUUUUGAAGCCCCAGCCUCAAUUGCUUUCAAACCUCCAAGCUCCCUUCCUUUGCUUCUAAAUUUACGAACCAAUACAAGGAACAAGUUGUUAAAUUUAUUGUGUGUAUAUUUAAUUUAUGUAUAAAAUUAUAGGAAAUCAAAAGAAUACCUUUAGGGAAUAGAACAAGAGAGUUUGAGUGUAUAAACAAAGCCAAUUAAGAGAUAGGAGUUGGGAAAUUGAAGAUGAAGAUAGGAAGUAUGAGUACCAGGAGGAAACAGAGAGUAGAGAGACGGAGGAACAAUGAUCAAACCGAGGUGAUCAAUAAUUGAAUAAGGUUUUUUUAUUUUAGCAGGGGGCCUCGCUCGAACUACUGACCUGCUUGCCACAUCAAACAAAAACACUCCUUAAACCAACUCAACCAGACACCCAGUUUGUUAACAAAGAUAAAUUAUUAUAUAUAUAUAUAUAAACUUCCACUGGACAAAAAAAAAGAGGCCCCUUGCCGGCCGGGGGCCCUGUGCGGCGGCGCCGCCUUGACCACCCCAGGGCCGGCUCUGGUGAAGGGUACGGUAAUCCUAGAAGCAUUAUGAAUGUAUUGCAGUAUUGGAGAGGGGAGCUUCACAGGCUUGAAUCCUUACUUGCUAGCGUCUUAAUUUCUACGGUUACUUGUUAUGAUUGCAUCGAAGGCAAUUUAAUGUAGGUGAUACUUACUAUGUAUGCUUUGCAAUGAUAGACAUUUAAACUUUAGAAAGUAUAAAGUAGCUAGAUUGAAUAUAUGAACCAGUCUUCGAAUGAUGAUCGACAGAUAAGCGAUGUAGCUAGGUGGACUUUUAUGAGAAUAAUGUUGACAUUGAAUGAUGGUGUUAGCGGAUUAUGGUUGGGGGUUAGGUCCAUCCAUGCAUGCAUACUUACUCUUUAUAUAUCUAUCUUUCUUUCCCUCGUAUGUAUAUAUCAAAUGGAAAUUAUGAAGUCAUGGAAGACUCGCUAUCAAUUUACAAUCAUGGCAUAGACAGGAUGAUGUAAAGGGACUAGAAUAUAUAUUCAAGAACUUUUACGAUUAGUUAUGUCAAUUCGUUGUUUAACUUUAACAAGGGAAGCAAUAGCCUGAGCUACAAGUUGGUCUAGAUAGUUUCUCUACUUUUGAAUUACAUAGCUAGGGAAUAUGGUUCU
rnacentral:lncRNA from 1 species